GUAGAGGUGUAUAUAUAUAUAUAUAUAUAUAUAGAGAGAGAGAGAGAGAGAGAGAGAGAGAAUUAGGCUACUAUGCUAUUAAUAGCACCAAGUUAUUCGUGCUACCAAGUUUUUGGACAUUGGAUUAAGAGAUGUGUGGUUAGGAUUAUGUGGGCCCCUAGGGUUGAGUGGGUGGUUGGCUCAAUAGUAUGAUCUAACGGGUAAAAAUGAUCAAAAUAGUAUAUCUAACGGCGGAAAACUUAGUAGCACCAAAUGCUUCGUGCUAUUAAUACCAUAGUAGCUGGACUAUAUAUAUAUAUAUAUAGAGUGAGGCUACUAUGCUAUCGGAAGCACGGAGCCUUCCGUGCUUCCAGCUCAUUUUCGAUGUUGCGACUUUCGAAUCGUCGAUCGGCUCCGUUAAACUUGAUCUAGAGUAUUUGAAGUACCUAGAAAAUAAAUUUUAUGAUUUUACGAUAUCAUUGCCUAGUGAACGAAGGGGCUUAAAAUCAACGGCUGAAAAUAAAAAUCUUACAAAAUGUGAUAAUAUGACAUUAAAAUUUUAAAUCAAAGAUAUUGAUCUUGUUUUAUAUAGUAUAAAGAAUUUUCUAUCAAAAUUUCAUGCGAUUUGGAUAUUUCUACACCGUUAAACUUGCAAACGGCUCACUACGAUCAUUGAAAUUUGUUGAUUUUGAGCCCAUUCGAUCACUAGGCAAAUGAUAUCGAAAAAUAAUAAAAUUUAUUUUCUAGAUACUUCAAAUAUUUUAGAUCAAAUUUAACGGAGCCGAUCGACAAUUCAAAAGUCGCAACAUCGAAAACGAACUGAAAGCACGGAAGGCUCCGUGCUUCCGAUAGCAUAGUAGCCUCACUCUCUCUAUAUAUUUAUAUAUAUAAUUGAGCUAGAAUACUUUUACAAGUAUUACCCCCAUGAUGCUAUUAGGUUUUUAGCCAUUGGAUCUACUUCUUGAUUACUAAUAGNNNNNNNNNNNNNNNNNNNNNNNNNNNNNNNNNNNNNNNNNNNNNNNNNNNNNNNNNNNNNNNNNNNNNNNNNNNNNNNNNNNNNNNNNNNNNNNNNNNNAGAGAGAGAGAGAGAGAGAGAGAGAGAGCGCUAGGCUCCUAUGCUUUCGAAAGUACGAAAGCCUCCGUACUUAUAAGUUGUUUUCCAUAAUGGGACAUCCGAUUCGGCGAUCAGUUCCAUUAGAAAUGAUCUACGCUAUUAGAACUACCUAGAAACCAAAUUUCAUAAUUUUUUGACUUCAUUUGUAUAGUAAACGAGUAGCCUUAAAAUGAACGGCUGAAAAUAAAAAUCUCAUAAAAAAUAAUGAUAAAAAACUCAAAUUUCAAAUCGGAAGUAUUGGACUUGCUAUUGAUGUUAAGUAGAAUUUUUUAUUAAAUUUUCAUCUAAUUUGGAUACUUCUACACCGUUGAACUUAAAAACGUGUCACAUCGGCCGUUAAAAUAGUCAUUUUUAAGACCUUUUGAUCGCUUAGUAAAUGAUGUCAAAAAAUUAUAAAAUUUGGUUUCUAAAUAGUUCCAAUAGGGUAAAUUAUACUUAACGGAACCGAUCGCCGAAUCGGAUUUCCUAUCAUCGAAAACAACUUACAAGCACGGAGGUCGCCGUACUUUCGAAAGUACAGGAGACUUACUCUCUAUAUAUAUACUAGUAGAGUGCACGUGCAAUGCACGUCACAUAUUUAAAAAAAUAAAAAAUAUUUUUUUCAAAAUAAUUAAGAUAAGACAUGAUUGAUAUGUAAUGUAUAAUUUUUAAAUAAAUUAUUAAUGAAUAUUUAUAAUUUAAUAAUUUUAUUAUAUUUGCAUAAGAUAGUAAAAAAAAAUUAUUUCCAAUUGAAUAUUUAGAUAAAUUAAAUUUUAGAUCUCGGCAUCUGGCUAUAAAAAAUUUUCUUUUAUAUUACUUAUAAAAGAGCCACUUUUUUAGGACAAAAAAUGAUAUUUAUACCUGAAAUUCCUUUAAUUUUAUAAAUCAUGCUAAAAAUGAUUUAAGUCGAGCAAACUUUUUAUAUAAAAAAUAAUUUAGGCUAUAUCAUUCAUACUAUUUUAUUUUGCAUUCAAAAACUUUUAUUUUGCAUUCAAACGUGGAAUCAAGUGCUUCUUAAAACUUAGAAAAGUCUGUGCCAAGAUUAACCGGCGUCGAUCGAUGAAUCAUGAUCAUAAUCGAUAUGAACCCAAUUAUGAAAGUUAGGGACAUAAUAGUUAAAAAAAAAAGAUUAGGGACUAUAAACUGAACAAAAAAAAAAAGAGUAAAGUUUAGGAACUGUUGGUCUGAUUAAUCCUAAAGUAAUUAAGUCCUUAAAAUAAAAUUUUUCGAUAGUAUCGAAUUUGAAGUUUAUCUUAAUAUGAUCAUACAAUAAAAAUAUUUGAAUAAGGGCGAUGAAAUAUAUAACCCAAUGGAGAAUUUUGUGCAAGAAUAAAAAUUGAUUUAAAUAUAUAAUUAAUAAAUUUAAGUCUACAGGUUGCUACAAUAUUUCACAUGAAAAAAAUUUCAAAAACUUACUAAAAUCUAAUUUUUAUAUACGUAUUUGAGUACAAUUAAAUUCAAAUAGAUUUUAAGGGUGUGCUAGGUUCGUCGGAAAAGUGUAAAAAACUAUUUUUCCAACAAAAAUUUUUUAAAUUCAAAAAAUUAUUUUCAUAAUUUUUAUUUUUCAAAUAAAAAAACAGAAAACUGAAAAAAGGAGACUCUUUUAAUGAAAUCUGAGAAAAAAUUUUUAGAAAAAUUAUUUUUUAAAAAAUCUAAACGGACGAAAAUAUUAUUUUUAAUUAGAAAGUUAUUUUUUAAAAUGUUUUCUGGAAAAUCAGACCCCUCCUUAAUGUAGGUGUUUUCUAAUGUUGGAUUUAAUAUUUUAUUACAUCCAUAAGGACCAGAGUAACAACCUAAUCCCAACAAAUCAAUAGAUAUAUUAAAAUUUGAGUUUUCAUGAGAGGGUUACGUGUUGUGUACUUCAUUUCUCACGAUUCGUUUGUCCGCCUCGCCUCCUUCCCCCUCUAGAUCGUCUCAAAUCUGCCGAGUGCUGUGGCAUAUACCAUGUCGCACACCUAACUUCUGCAUAUCCCGCGGGGCGUGGAGGGUUAUCGCACUGUACUAUAACGUUCUUCCCCUCCGUAAGAACACCUACUUUACCCAAUUAUUAUUAUUUUUCAAGUACAAGUGUACAACAUAAUGACUAGGUAUUACUACUUGGAAAGAACUAAACUUUAGUGAGGUGGGGCGUAACACAAUUUUAUUGGCGUAUUGAAGUACUUAAAUGGCACUUUAAAUUGUGUUCAUAAAGCUGGUUCUUCGCACGGCUCUGUUUAUUUCGCCAAAGAUAAAAUUUAGAUUAAAGUAAAUUUUUGGAUGAACUUAAGUUUAAGUAAAAAGAAAAAUUCUUCUGUUGUUUCUUUAUAUAUUUGUGUUAGUGAAGUUCUUUCAAUUUGAUUAUUUGUUUGGCAUAAAAUGAAUAACGUAAAAAAAGGAUGCGUGAGAGAUAAAUUAAUAUUUCGUUUAUUUUUUUUUUUACUUAUAAUUGACUUUAGAAUGGACUUUAGUAUGAGGUGGGGGCGAAAUCAAUUAUACUAUUUUGGAGAGUUUAAGUUUCAACCAGAGUAAAGAUACGGUGAACCAAACAACGGAAUUAUACAUUUUUAAAAAAAUCACUUUAUUUCUCUGCAUUUUUAGUGAAACAAAUACCCUCAAGAUUUGUAGCAAUACUUAUUUGUAAAUCCAAGUGCGUUACAUGUAACUUUUGAAAUAGAUUCUUCAAAAAUCAAUGACCAGAUUUUGCUUAGUAAAAAUAAAUUUGGUUGAAGUAAGUUUGUAAGUUUUCACAGCAAGCUCUAAUUUGAAAUUUUCAAUUUUUCUAUGUUAAGAAUCUAACAAAUUUUAACGACAAAAACAGUUGCUGCUUUUUUAAAAGAAAAACUUCAUACAAUAACUAUUUCUGCUAUCUUGUUAAAACAAAACACGGAAAAUAAAUCCAAAAAAAAUUAGUGCAAAAAUAUAUAUGUAUAAAAAUUAUAUAAUUCGGUCACUGAUUUAUAUCCAAAAUUUUAUUGUAAUAUUGAAGGUAGAGUAUAAAUUUCCGAAAAACGCGUUGGUGUGGUGGGACCCAAUGCUCGGCUCUUUAUCACGCAACACCCACAAUACACGGUAGCUGCGUGCCUGCCUUUGGUUUCGGCAUAAAUAAAAACGGUCUAUUUCAGAGAUAGAUGUAAGUUCAGAUAUAGAUAAAAAUUAAACAAAUUUUGCAUUUGGAUGAAAAUUGAAUUGUUUCUAAGAAUAAGAUAAAUAGUGUUUGAAUGGUUAGAUUAGAACAAGAGGAAUAAGAAUUAUAAUUUUAAAUUAAAAUUAUUUUAUCUAAUUAAUUAACAUCAAAAUAUUACUUAAAAAUAAUUUAAUAAAUUAAUAAAUUUAUUAGCUAUAAAUAUUGUAUAAGAUAAUAAAAAUAUAUUAAUUAAGUAAUUAAUUAAUUAUAAAAAAUAAUUUAACUUUUUACUUAGUUAGUAAAUUAUUUUAGCUAGAUAACAAGUAAAAUAAUUAAUUAGAUUAAUAAAAAUAUUAAUGGUUAAUCAAUAAAUAAAUAUUAGUUUAUGAAUAAAUACACUAAAUUAUUAAUAAUUAAUUAUAAAUGAUAAAUUAAUUAAUUAUUUUAUUAUUUAAAUAAUAAAUAAUAAUUUAAAUAUAUUAAUUAGAUUAAUUACUAAUUUAAUUCCAUAAUUAAAAUUAAAUUAGACUUUAAUUAAUCUUAUUUUCAGCUGGGAACAAAGCUUGUUCCCAGAAAAAGGGUGGAACAGCAGUUCCAAACUUAUACCAGCUUAUUCCAGAAAUAUGAGAACUACUGUUCUCAGAUAGCAAACACGACGGUUGGGAAUAAAGGGGGGGAAUAAGAGCUUAUUUGCUUUUUGUUCCCGAACCAAACACUGUCCUUGGGUUUACCUUAAAAUGAAAAUUAAAAAAAAAACAUCUUGGGUUGAAUUAAUUAAUUCUGUUUUCUCGUUUUAAUUAGAGCACCGGUGAGUUAGGAACUCAUGUUAGAACUGACUCGUAUUUGUUCAUUUAUUUAAUGAGUCGAACACGAGUUAGCUCAUUAAAAUAUCGAGCUAAAAAAUUCAGUUCGUAUUCGACUUAUUUAUUACUAGCCGAGUAUCAUACACUAUAUAUAAAGCAUAGCUUCCAAUUUAAAGUAUAAUUAGACUGGUAGUUUAAUUGAAUUUCUAGUUACACUCUAUAUAAAUUUAAAUCUCCUCUUAUUCUAAGUAAAUUAGAAUUUGACUUACAAAUUUAAACAAAAAAUCUAACAUAUCUUUAGAAGCUCUAACUAGCUUGGUACUUAAGAAAAAGCCAAAGAAUAUUCCCACUUUUGCUGUAUUUGUGGUCCCUCUUUACAUUUUGGCUUUAUGCCUCUAUUGUUUGCUCAAAUUAAGUUUCCCUUAACUUUAUGCCCAUAGUAUUUGUUCUUUACUUUUGAUUUUUUAUAUAGAGUUUUAUCUUUAUCCCUAGAAUGAAUCUCUGUUUCAGGUCUUUCAACCAAUCAAUACGACCUCAUAGAUGAGAUUUUGCUAAAACUCGAUUGAUUUCUUGAAAACUUGCUUCUGAUACAAAACUUUAAGUAUUCAGAGACGCCCUAUUUAUAACUUCUAAAUCAUAACAUUAAAUUGUUUCCCUAGUGAGAAAUACUUUUGACCCAUUAUGCAGUACCUCCUCCAACACUCUAUCCACAAAAAUCAACUUCAACUUAUUAUUAGAANNNNNNNNNNNNNNNNNNNNNNNNNNNNNNNNNNNNNNNNNNNNNNNNNNNNNNNNNNNNNNNNNNNNNNNNNNNNNNNNNNNNNNNNNNNNNNNNNNNNNNNNNNNNNNNNNNNNNNNNNNNNNNNNNNNNNNNNNNNNNNNNNNNNNNNNNNNNNNNNNNNNNNNNNNNNNNNNNNNNNNNNNNNNNNNNNNNNNNNNNNNNNNNNNNNNNNNNNNNNNNNNNNNNNNNNNNNNNNNNNNNNNNNNNNNNNNNNNNNNNNNNNNNNNNNNNNNNNNNNNNNNNNNNNNNNNNNNNNNNNNNNNNNNNNNNNNNNNNNNNNNNNNNNNNNNNNNNNNNNNNNNNNNNNNNNNNNNNNNNNNNNNNNNNNNNNNNNNNNNNNNNNNNNNNNNNNNNNNNNNNNNNNNNNNNNNNNNNNNNNNNNNNNNNNNNNNNNNNNNNNNNNNNNNNNNNNNNNNNNNNNNNNNNNNNNNNNNNNNNNNNNNNNNNNNNNNNNNNNNNNNNNNNNNNNNNNNNNNNNNNNNNNNNNNNNNNNNNNNNNNNNNNNNNNNNNNNNNNNNNNNNNNNNNNNNNNNNNNNNNNNNNNNNNNNNNNNNNNNNNNNNNNNNNNNNNNNNNNNNNNNNNNNNNNNNNNNNNNNNNNNNNNNNNNNNNNNNNNNNNNNNNNNNNNNNNNNNNNNNNNNNNNNNNNNNNNNNNNNNNNNNNNNNNNNNNNNNNNNNNNNNNNNNNNNNNNNNNNNNNNNNNNNNNNNNNNNNNNNNNNNNNNNNNNNNNNNNNNNNNNNNNNNNNNNNNNNNNNNNNNNNNNNNNNNNNNNNNNNNNNNNNNNNNNNNNNNNNNNNNNNNNNNNNNNNNNNNNNNNNNNNNNNNAGCGUAGGCAGUCCGGGCUCCCACCUCCUAUUGGUCACCCCGGCUGCCCCUUUUGUUUAGCCUUCCCCGGGUGUGAUCUACCGUCCUUUUCCAACCCCUACCUUUAACUUUCGGCUUCAAGCUAUCCGGGAUCUCUCAAUCAUGGUUGCGGGUCGGGUUCUUACCGCACUCGUCAGAAGUGUGAGGAGAGUGACGGAUCAGGUGGUUGGCUGCCCGGGCCCUUCGUUUUUCUUGGUCCCCCCGGGUUCUUGGCUUUUCUAGGUCGUAUUCUCUAUUUCUCUCCGGGGGUGGCUUUGGGCUGGUUACCGGGUCUAGGUACACCCGGACCAUCCGGGGAGGAGAGUCGUACGUCUGUUAGGGGGCUCAGCUCGGGUUUUGGCCUUGGGCAACUGAGGUUCCUAUUCUGGCUCACCCAGGUGACGAACUCCUCUGUUAGCCAGCCGGGCACCGAGCUCCCCCUACUCGUUUAGAACCUUAAUUUCGACGGCGUGAAGAGGGUCCACUUCUAUAAUAACGCCAUUCGGAAGAACCGAAAAGGAAAAACGAGGCCCAAGGUUACGUUUUCGGAGCUUCGUACUUUUUUUAGAAAAGGACAACCGAGGCUUAUUUUUGGUGGACGGCGUUACUACGAUGCCGGGGGGAGGUGCAGUCCAGACUGUAAAUUACGUUGCAGAUGAAGUCUCCUUAAGCUUAAGGGCAGGCAACGUGGGGCGGAAGGCCGCUAGCGGCCUGGUAAGCACCAGUUUAGGCGGAGUUCGACUAGGAAGUACCAGCUAAAGAGGAGCUCGGCUGGGAAGCUCCGGCUUAGGAGGAGUUCGACGGCCAACCUCAGCCGGCCCCAGCCCCCCUUUAAGGCAGCAUCUCCUGUUAGUCCUCUGCCUGGUCGGGAAGCGGACAGGGCCUAAAGCCUGCUUAAGGUUCUACGUAGCCACGAUCUUCUCGGCGGCCGACUACUAGCAGCAGGAGAACGCCUAGGUCGACUCGCCGCUACUCCGGGUCCCAGAGAGCUGUCCCCCAGCACGACUAGGCAGGAGAGUAAGCCACCCAACGGACCCUGCUGCCGCAGUGCCGCCGGGGUAGAGAGCUCGACCUAUUCGUGGCUUUCGCUCUUCAGGGGGUGGCACUAAAGGUUCAAAAGGCCAUACAGCCUCUCCACCAAUUGCCUCUGCUCCGUGGCCAUAGGACAUUCUAGGUGGUACGCUUAGCUCAUCAGUAGGCCGGCAUUCUUUGCCGGCUUCGGUGGCUGGUCGCGGCGGUGGCAUGCUCUUCUGGUUGUGAGCAUUCCAUUCGAAUGCUCAGCCUAGGUGUGCAACAUCCAAUCGCUACGGGAAGCUUGUGGUAUUAUUCCUAAGGUCCAUAUUGUGACCUCGGACUCUAGUAGGUCGCUAUCUUAGAGUGCUGCCUAUUCAACCAGGCGGCCGUGGGUGAGGCCGUCCUUUUAGUCUUUUAGUGCAACCGAUAUGAACCGCUGCACUUUUAGUCUGCCCUUGGGUGGCUUCGCCGAGCGGUCGGCCAAUCGAUAGCAGAGGACACCUUUCACUGGGUUUAAGAAUCCGCCCUCAUGCAGCUGGUCCUACCGCAACGCUGUCACUAAAACAGACCACAUCUUCAGCAGACAAACACCCUGUUUGCGCGACUCUAUCCUACCAGACCGGGCGUAGCGGGACAUUUGGCGGUAGCCGUUGGCCAGGUACGUUCUAGAACGUUGCACCGGACAGAACUUCGUGGCGUGUGUGGCCUCCCCGGGAGCCGUUGACCUGCGGGUCACUAACCAUGGGUCUGUGGACAUCGUGGAGGGGGACUUCCUUCAGAAUGGUCCCUUACGCUUCCACCCCUACCCUUACCGUGAGGCAACCGCCGCUCCCAUGCCGCAGUCACACCCUUAUCCCCACUCCUCACGGAGGAACAUUCAGAAGAAAUAUGGUCUUCACUUCUCACCAAACAGGACGGGGAGCGGGCUCUGUAGGGAGAAGGACAGCAGUAAUCAGCUGCACAGCGACCUAGCACAACUCCCCCGCUUUAGGUGUCCCACUUUCUCUCAUUGGAAUCAAUUUCGAUCGGGUGGGAGUAGUCGGGUGUACUGGAAGAACCUUCUCCGUCUCCGUCUCAUUUACAGGAGUAAUUGAGGUACGAGAUAUCUUCUCCGUCUCAUCCACAGGUGUAAUUGAGCUUCGAGGAGCCUGCUGCAACAAGCCACUCCGGACGGAGCUUCCGAUUUUCGGCGCUCAAGCCAACUACCCGUCCACCUGCUGCAGCUGCCUCGGACGAAGAGCGCACGACCGCAGAAGGAAACGGUUUCUAAUCAUCCUCGACCCAGAAGAAAUUAGAAGAGACAGAAAAAGAGGAAAUCGUGUAGUGGUUGAGAGAGAAAAGGAAAAGGGAAUAGGAAAGCUUGAUAGAGAAAAGGCCUUCGUCCUAAAGGAAAGAAGAAGAGACAGAAGAAGAAGAGACAGAAGAAGAGACAGAAGAGACAGAAGAAGAGGUAGACAGAAGAGAAGUGCCAAGUUCAAAUAGACUAUGUUGAUAACGAAGAUUAUUAUUCAACUUCAACUAAAAACACCUAUCUCACAACCUCCUCCAUGACGUAUUACCCAGUUUUCAUAAAGAGUGAUCCCUUUGUUAAAUUACAAUACUAAAUCUUCAAUAUUUAUCCCGCAGAGACUUAUGAAUUUCAAAACAUAGUCUUCGUUCAAAAGUUCUUUAGUUAGCUCAAAAUCGUUUUAGAGUAGAUACUCCAGCAUAACUAACCAACUUUCUGGACUUUGUCUCUAAGUAAGAUCCCUAUUUCUAUUUUGAGAUAUAUUUUUUAGUUUUCAUUUCUUGUUUAUGAUACCCGUAUUUCAAUUCCCUUUGAAUUAAACUCGUUUGUUAUCUCCGUAUUUCGGUUUUACAUUUCUCCCUGGUGUUUAUGUCGUUUUCACCCUUAUAAGAAACCGAAAAAGAAUUCAUGGUUCGAUCAAUCUCGAAGAUUUCUAUACAAUCUAAAAAACAAAUUUAAACAUUCAGUUUAAGAUUAAAUGAAUCUUAUUCUCCUCUAAAUUUAAAUAUAUCUCACAUUGAUCUUUAAGUUAAUUUGAUGGUCAGAUUAAUAUGAAAUUUAACCUUCGAUACGAAAUAUAUAUCACAUACUAUGAGCCGAUCAUUAUUUAUUCAGCUUAUGCUUGACUUAAAAAAUCGAGCUAUAAAAUUACUCGAUUGAGCACAAGCUGAGUAAUUUAUUUACUUGUUUAUGCUCAGUCAAGAUUGUACUCAAGGAUUGAGUGGCCACGAGAUUAAUUUUGCUCUUUUGUCUUAAUUAAUUAAGUUGGGUUCUACAAAAAAAAAAAGUCUCUCGUGCCUACCUUUCGGUCGGUCUUCUGCGACGGUUCACAAGGGUCUAUCUUCAUCAGCAAUGCAGCUGGCCUUGGGUCAGUCGUUCGAGAUUGUUCACAAGGGCCAACCCUCAUCAGCUCUUCUACUUGCCUCGAGUCGGCUUCUCGUGGCUGUCAGCAGGGGCCCACCCCUUGCGGCAACGUGUCGACGGUCGGAAGGCUUGUCCUGGAGCCCGACGAGAAGAUUCUCGACACUAGCUUUCGGCCGGCCUUCAGGGUAGGUUCACAGGGGUCCCUCUCCUUCAGCUCUUUUGGGUCGACAGUUCGCGCUUCUCCACAGGGAUCAACCUUCAUCUGCUCGACUGCUAGUCUCGGGCCGGCUUUUCGUGGCGGUCCGCAGGGGCCCUCCCUUAGCAGCAACACGUCGUUCAGCUGUCCGUCGCUCGUGCCUGGUGCCGGGGGCAAUUUACCCACCACCCCCGCCACUGCCCCUCUGUCCGAUCUGGAGGAGGUAGUUCUGUGUGAUUCGACAGGGUCGUCCAGAUCCAGUGCGAGGCUGAUUUCUGCACGGAAGGUCUCGGCGCUCGAGCGGGCAAAACUUCGGAAAGCGUUCCUCCUUGAAGGAGAGACUACUGGUUCGACGUCCUUAGCUCGCAAAUGGAACACUAGAAAGAUCUUGAAGAAAAGUGCUCUUUGUGGAGUGAAGCUCUCGGGGGCCGAAGCCGAGGAGCUACAUAAGUUCAUGCUGUGUAGUUGACCCACAGCGUCUGUCUGAUGAGUUUGGGCCGCCUUUUGUGUGUGUGUCAUUUUCCCUUAUGUUUAAUAUUAUUACCUGGAAUGUCCGCGGUCUAAACGACCUUUGUAAGCGUCGUUGUGUCAGGUCUACUAUAUCUAAAUACUGUCGGGCGGUUGUCUGCAUCCAAGAAUCUAAAGUCGAUUCUGUCUCUCGAUCGUUUCUUCGCUCUUGUUGUGGUUCGAAUUUCGACAGAUGCCACUUUAUUCCGGCAAUCGGUGCUUCGGGAGGAUUAAUCACUUGUUGGAAUUCCAAAAUCUUUGUUUGUACAGAAGCACUGAUGCGAGUUCACUCGCUCACCCUCAACUUGAAACAUGCUACCAGCGGAAAGAGCUUUUACCUUUCGAACGUGUAUGGACCGCCGACAUGGGAUGGGAAAGAAGAGUUCUGCUCUGAACUCCUAUCCCUCAGUACCAUCUGCUCAAACAGUAAUUGGGCUAUUUGUGGGGACUUCAACUUUACUAGAAAUCAGCUAGAACGCAUCGGCAACCCGUGGAGCACAAGAGCGAUGUCCAUGUUCUCCGAUCUCAUCUCGAAUCUAGAAGUCAUCGACCUACCCAUCUCCAACCAAAAUUUCACUUGGUCGAACAUGCAACGAUCGCCGACACUGGCCAAACUAGACAGAUUUCUAAUCACCACGGAGUGGGACCAAACUUUCCCACACUGUACGGUAUCUGCGCUACCCAGAAUUACAUCUGACCAUACACCAUUAAUUCUCACUUCAGGGAGCAAGCACACUUUGCGGAGAUUUCGGUUCGAGAAAGUAUGGCUCUCUAGGGAGGACUUCUCAAAUAACGUUCCAAUCUGGUGGAAUGAAGUUACCAGUGAGAGAUCAGCAAUCCUCACUUUAACAGCUAAACUAAGGCAUUGUAGAAACAGGAUGAAAGAAUGGAGUAAGACGAAAUUUCAUAGCAUAUCCAACGCGAUUAGAAGGUUACAGGAGGAUAUACGAUGCAUAGAUCUUUUAGAGGAAGAAAAUACACUGCCUCAGGAAAUGCGGGAUCAACGGCUCGACCUCAAAGCACAACUCCAGCUCAUCCUUAAGGAGGAAGAAAUUCUUUGGAAAACGAGAGCGAAGCAGCACUGGCUUAAAGAAGGAGAUAGUAAUACAAGAUUUUUUCACGCAGUGGCCAACAGUCGAAAACGUACCAAUGAGAUACAAUUUAUUGUAGACGACAAUGGAAGACAGACCAACAAUGAAGCUCAAAAGAAAUCAUAUUUUUUUCACUCCUUCAAACGUCUGUUUGGGAACGUGGAAGAUGACCCAGCUUCCUUUGGCGAUUGGGCUGACCUGUACCGAGCGGAUUCCCUUGCUGAUCCGGAUUCCCUCACGAGCCCGUUUACUAUAGACGAGGUUAAAAAGGCUACCUUUCAACUGGGUAGUGAAAAGGCACCCGGCCCCGACGGUUUCCCACUCAUUUUUUUCCAAUAUUUUUGGGAGACGGUCAAGGAAAACAUUUUUAGUAUCUUCUUAGAGCUUCAGGAGAACAAUCUCUCCACGGCCCCAACAGACUACGCCUACGUCUGUUUAAUCCCCAAAAAGGAAGGAGCAUGUCAGGUUAAUGACUUCCGACCGAUAUGCCUAAUAAACGGAAUUCAAAAGAUCAUCUCUAAAGUGCUCGCGAAUAGAAUUGCCGGCAUUUUACCAACAAUCAUUUCUUCGUCACAAUCAGCUUUCCUGAAAGAUCGACUAUUACCCGACUCUUUUGUUACGGCAAGUGAACUACUCAAUUGGUGCGCAAAAUCCUUUAAGAAGUGUGUCAGUAUUAAAGUGGAUUUUGAGAAAGCUUACGACAAAGUGAGAUGGAGUUUCCUGCAAAGUAUACUACGGUGGCUCGGGUUCAGUGAUAAAUGGUGGAACUGGAUUGAACAAUGCAUCUGCAAUGCUAAAAUCGCCAUUUUAGUAAAUGACGAGCCAUCAGGAUGGAUAAAAACGAGGAGGGGGUUGAGGCAGGGGGACCCGCUUUCCCCUUACCUAUUCUUAUUGGUCGCCGACUGCUUGGCUAGGAUGACAGAAGCAGCUAAAGGAAAUAACUUGUUGCAGGGAAUUGGACCAACCGUUGAUUGUCAUACAGUGAUUCUUCAAUAUGCGGAUGAUACAUUAUUCUUCUCCGAGCCCAAAAAGUCCAAUAUGCGUAACUUACUAUUCCUAUGGAAGAUAUUUGAAUGGGCCUCUGGCCUUAAGAUAAAUACGAACAAGACGGAACUUUACUAUGUGGGAACCACCGUAAACAGAGCCAAGAGACUCGCAGAUAUUUUGGGGUGCCGAGUAGGUAAUCUACCGUUUCGCUACUUGGGCUUGCCGCUACAUAUCAAACCCCUUCGAAAGGAAGAUUGGGCUCCGAUCGUUAACCGUUUAGAGAUGCGCAUCGAUGGAUGGAAGGCAAAACUACUCUCACAAGGAGGCAGAUUAAUCUUAGUCAACUCGGUACUUUCGAACCUCCCGUUAUUCUACUUCGCAAUCUUCAAAGUGCCACAAUGGGUUCUGAACCGCAUUGAAGCUCUUAGAAGAUCCUUCUUUUGGAAAGGGUGCUCCAAAAUUUCUGGUGGCUCAUGCCUCGUUGGUUGGAAAACAAUAUGUAAAAGCAAAAGAGAAGGGGGCCUGGGGAUCAAAGAUAUGGGAGCAAUGAAUAAGGCACUGUUAACCAAAUGGUGGUGGCGGUAUUUCAAUGAGAGACACCUGUUAUGGGGGAGACUGAUCAAAGCCUUGUAUUACACUAGAAGAAGGCCAUUACACGAGGGAAGAUCCUUCAGACCUUAUUCCCAAUGGUGGAGAAGCGUGAUGAGCUGCCGAGACGUGUUCAAGUGUGGAGUCUCGUAUGUGCUUGGCGAUGGAAAAAACAUCAGGUGGUGGACGGAUAUUUGGAUUGAAGAAACCCCUCUUAGUACCCGAUUUUCUGGAUUGUUUUGCAGGAUAGCGAAUCAGGACGCCACAGUCGCACAAUGCUGGAAUGAUAGAGGGUGGAGAUGGCGUUUCAUAACCAGAGGUCUCACUACUAAUACCACUCCCCUGAACCGCCAAAGUUUAGCGCUGCUCAAAAACCUGCUCAUUCAGUAUUGCCCAUUGGCUAGAGAGGAUAAGCUAUUGUGGAGAUGGACUGCUGAUCAAAUUUUUACCGUUAAAUCCCUUUAUGAUUUCAUCACCAACGCAGGUCAGAUUGAUCCUCUGUACGAUCAUCUUUGGGGGUUAAAAAUUCCGCUCAAGCAAAAAAUUUUCAUUUGGAUCCUAUUGCAUAAGAGAUUACUUACAACGGAUAGACUGAUUCGCCGAGGGAGUCCUGUGGAUCAGCAUUGCAUGUUCUGUGUGUUACUAUCUGAAUCUUGCGACCACUUGUUUAGUGAAUGUAUCUUCGUCAGAUACCUCCAAAUUGAGGUCGGAGUUUCAGUGGCGGCCGAUUCGGACGCCGGGGAUGUUCGUCGUUUAUGGACACGGAUCUCAAACAACCCCAACGCCCUAAUGAGAUCGAAAAAUCUUACCCAAUUGGCGGCAAUCUGAUGGGUCAUUUGGACGGAGCGAAACAAGAUCAUCUUCCGCGACGGGUCUCCCAACGCCUACCGGGCUCUUGAACGUGUCAUGGCCCUGAUCACAAAUUGGAACAAAGUCCUCUGAAGCCGCGAUACAACGCGCAGUUCUUUUCCUUCAGUAUUUACCCAUAUCUAUUUAGUUUCCCUUCGUUUGCACUCUCUUACUUUUCCCCUUUUACGGACUUGCUGUUUUCGGUUCUUUUUGGUUUCUCCUUCUUUUGCCGGCUCGGUUAGGAGGCCUAGCUGCUUCCAUCUUGUUCGCCUAAUUCAUUUUGCUUAAUGAAUGAAGCAGGUAGCUUGCUACCUAAUACUAAAAAAAAAAAAAAAAAAAAAAGAUUAUCAAAUGUUUCAAAUCUAUAAGAUUGACUUAAGAAAAUAAAGUAAUCAAACUAUCAAACGAAUCUGAACAUACUAAAUACAUGAAAGGUUUCGUCUAACACAAAGAUAAAGUAAAUAAUAAUCCAAAGAGAGCACAUUGAAACAUUUAGAUAAUGUCUUUAAGUUAGACAAACUAAAGGAACCACACGAAUAUAGAUGAUUGACUCAUAUUGGUCAAAUCAAAGGGUCCAGGACCUUCCUUUGAUCUUCUAGAGGUGUUCACCACUAUUACACUGUAAUACCAAAGGGACACAAAGCCUAAACCACUAUAUAGAUAUAUACACAGAUAGAUAUACAGAGAGAUAGAGAGAAAAAACAAACCAGGCUUUAGGGAAAGUCAUGGCGCAUCAACGCAUUCAACCUUUUGCUGUAUAUAAUCAACACCACCUCUCAUCACGGAUGUUCCCCUUGUCUUUUUGUAAAGUGUACCAAGAUCUUUAACAACACUAUACCCAGAAAAUGAGAGUUUUACAAGGAGAAAAUUAAUCAUUCACAUGGAAGUGAUUUAACGAAGAAAGAAAGAGUAAACUUCAAUUAGCGGGCUGUGGUUCAAACGAAAUUCUAAAAUAAAUUAUUAAACAAAAUAAUAAAGUAAUAUUUUUUACAAAACAACAUUAAUGUGAUGCAGCAGUUUACAAUUUUAUAAUUAAUAUGCACUUAAUUUACUCUUUUAUGGUUUGCAAAAUUUGCCAUGCAUGUUAUCUUUUUGUUUGACACUUCCUACAUACUCAUGGUAAAACAAACAAAAAAAAAGAAUUGUAGAGUAGAUAAGUAUAACAUUUUAAACCAUAUAUAAAAUAAUAAAGUAAAAAUAAAAUAAACUAUUUAUAGGACAGUAAAUUGAAGUUUAUUCAAAAAUUUAUCGUUUAAACUGGUAUCAUAAUAUGCCAAGUAUCUAAAGCUAAUGACUAAGUUUUGAAAGAUGGUAGAUGGGUUUUUGGGCAUGCAUGCAUGCAUGCGCGCACGGAAAAGAAUAGGUUAGGAAGUGGCGGUGCUGUUUCCUGUUUAGGGUGGGAAGAUAUAUAUAUAGUUUGAAUUGGCUUUUGAGGAUCGAUGACUUAAUUUGUUCCUUGUAUUUUUCGUGUCCUUUUGUACUGUCUCUGUGGUAAUUAAGAUGGUGAGAGAAUAUCUCCAGGAAUAUCUCCACGCGAAGGAGCCACCACCAGGGUGUUGUAGCUAGUGUGUGCAUGUUGCGUCAGUGCGUUGAACUAUUUGUUGAUUGAUGCAGAGGAAUGUAACUAAACCAUGCACGCAUGAUGGACUUAUUAGAGAACACCUUAAUUUCUUCUAACGAAUUAAUUAUAUAGUAACCCACUAAUUAACCCUCCCCAGAAGCAGUGCCAGAGAAUUAAACCAAAAGCUUAAUUUCCUCUGCACGUAGCAGCAAGUACGUGCGUGCGUUCUAUUGUGAAAAAUGACCCAUCUUGCACCUGUGGUAUUCGGUGUUGGAUUUGAGAGAGAUUGAGGCCAUCGAGCACGAUAGAUUCAAGAGUUGUUGGGAACGAUUGAAUUGGGUUCGAACACUUCGAGCAUCCGAAACCGACCUAACAGCAAUAUUUGUCAACGGGAAACUGUAGCCACAAACUGUAUUCGACGAAGAAGGAUCGAUUUUGUAGUGAAAGUGUGAAACGCAUACUAAUUAAUGCUUAUAAACAAAAAGGUCGUCAGCUCAGGGAAAAAAAAUAUAUAUAGAAAUAUAGUUUUUCUAAUUUCUUAUGGAAUUGUACAAAAUAUAUCGUGCCGACUAAUGUAAUUUACAGAAACAGGAUAUGUUUUUUAUCAUAUUAUCUCACCGCACAUAACACAUUUCUAUUUUACCUCUAUCCAUAUAAAAUGUGAAUUUUUAUUUAUCCUAAUAAGAUAAAAAUAAGAAUAAAUUAUAUAUUUUUUAUUAGUUAUAAAACGCAUCUCCCCAUAUCUUAACAAAUAUUAUUAUCUUUAUCUUUAUGUGAAAAUCAGAAUAUUUAUUUUUAUCUUUAUCUUUAUGUAAAAAUCAGAAUAUUUAUUUUUAUCUUUAUCUUUAUGUAAAAAUCAGAAUAUUUUAAAGAAUCCAAUAAAAUCCUGAUAAUUUAUAAUUAUGAACUCCUUUCUCUCCGACUUUGUACAUAAAAAAAUAAAUAAAUAAAUAAAUAAAUAAAGAUUUCUUCCCACGGAUUUCCAUCUACAUGAUGAUCAAGGAUAGAGAUUCCGACAGGAUCUUCGAUCGAAGAUCCAAAUUCGAUCCAAAAGGUCAUUGCAGACCUAGAAGGCUCUAAGACAAGUAUGACGAUCCGACAAGCUUCUGCUAAAAUUACAAUACGUAUGAGGUUUUACAAUAGUUGUAUUUUGUCUAUUUCUUUUUUGCCAGAGCAAAACACUAUACAAUUAUAUGAAGCUGAUUAUUUACAUACGCCACAUUGCCAGACGCAUCUCUUACCAACAAAAGAGAAACAAGAGAAUUGUUGAAGCUAUGAAAUAGAAUAAGCAGCAUCGACCCAAUUAGACGAUAUACAUUUUUUACACUAGCUUUCGAUUCUCUAAUGUCGAUCCUUGAUCUAUCUAUAAAUGAAUGGUCUGACAUAUAAAUACCUUGUCCUUCUAACAUGUGCAGUUGCAUAGGAUCUACGCCGAGCUGAUGCUCACACCGGCAUAAUCUUCGCUUUUGAAUCUUCACCUCGUCAAAUGGAUUACUCUCAUUGAAUCUCCAAUAUUCAGUACAUAUCCCCAUUCAUUUGUCUGUAUUUAUAUUCGCGUGCUUAAAGAAUAACAUACAAUACGAAACCCUGCCCACCCAAAGAAAGGAAGGAAAAAAAAAAGUUCAAUAGGAAUCUCUCCGAUCUUACGAUAUUACUAAGUUCAGUGGAUGGGGAUGUGGGCUCAUUGUACAUGUUUACGACUAGGGGAAAAGCGCAGGGCUAAGGUUACAAUAUACUAUACACCACAAGAUAUAGAGAGAGACAAUGUUGCUACAAUGAGGAGGCAAGAGGUGCAAGGUUACAAUGAAGAGACAAUGUUGCUACAAUGAGGGCUAAGGUUACAAUAUACUAUACAUUACCAGCCAUACACAGGAUUCUGUACCUGAGGAGGCAAGAGGUGCAAAUCCCUACAAUGUUGCUUAUCAUAAUCACGUGUACCGGGUAUUGCUCCUGUAGACAACCUUAGAAUUUCAUUGCCUGUUAGACAGUAAUGAGCAAAUGCCAACCCUCCAUCCACCAUAUCAUUCAAAUUUGGCAAGGAAACCGACUUUUUCAUCUUACUGAUUGUUUUACUACUUUCUCCAUGCUCAUUGCUCUCAUUACUCAAAACCUUGUUGAGUUCCGAAUACUCCAUGAAUCUUUGGGUUGCAGCCUCCCAUGAUAAGUUAUAUCUCUCCUCAGGGGUGAGGGGUUGAGGCUCACUGGCCAUCGCCUCUUUAACUCUGGCAACAAAAUCUUCCGAUGUUUUGUACGUCAAGCAGUUCGGGAAAUCCCGGAAGAAAUCAUUUGACGGGUGGUCGGCACAGAUAACGAACUUCCCCAUUGCAAGAGCCUCUGCUGUUGCAGUGCAUAGGACAUCGCUAACACUUGGAUUGAUGAAAACCUUGUACCUGAGAAGACAAGGAAAGAUCACAUAAGUGCAUUCCACAUUCCACAAUCAAUAUAGAAGUCAGAACAAAACAAUGAGGCCUAAUGAAGGGGUCUUUUUCUUUUCAAACACAUAUAAUAAUAUAUGCAAAACUGCAAUAGGCACAAAUGCUUGUCUACUCUAAAUGCAGCCCCUCUGCUGAUGUAUAGGCAUAAACAAUUUUUCCAUUUAGCCCAGGCAGGGGCUUGAUCACUGAUAAGGUUUCGGUUCUGAGGUACAUGCAUGCAAACCCAACUUUGCAGAUCUAAUUUAUGCAAUUUUUCACAUAUUUUCAAGGAUAUGUAAGAAACAAAAAGAUCCCUUGUAAGUUUUUAGUUUUCAUGAAAUACUUACCCAUGAAGUGAAUCAUCUGCAUGGUCCCUUCCUCUUAGGAAGUUAAGAUUAAGGUCCAACUUCUUAGCUGCUGAUUGAACUUCAUAUGAAUCCUCACCGUUUCCAAAGACAUCCAACUUGAAGCCUUCCAAGUCACUCUUGUGUUUAGCUAACAAAUCUAUCAGUUCUCUGUAACCUUUGGCCCACACCAUCUUCCCCAGGAAGUAUGCCCCUUUGGAGAAUGCAUGUUGCCCUCGCUCCCUUUCAGCUGCCAUUCUCACUCCAACCUCAAGAAAUCUGGGAUUCACACCAUGCACAUUGCAAAUGACGGACUUCGGUAGAUCCUGAGUUGCUGCAGAAAGACGCAAUACCUGCAGGACAGCCCAUCAUUAACUAGUUAAAGAUACAGGAUAUCGAUCAAAGGUUGGCCUAGCGAUUGGAACUGCUCUGUUCCAAGAAGCAGCAACCAGGUGUUUGGAAUAAAAAUUUUGAAGCUUUUGCUGGGAAUGAGAGCUGAAACAAGCAUAAGGCCGGCAAACCAGAAACUUCAGUUUGAAGUUUCUGCUUCUUCUGCACCAGGAAGCUGUUGACGAGAAUUUAAGCUACAAGCUACUAUUUUUUCGAACAGCUGCACUCAAAAGGCAUUCAGAAGUUCCAGCCAGGCCAAUCAGACCCUCAGGUCAACAAAAGAUCCACAAGCAAAUGAUUCACCAGGAAAUGCCACCUUCCCAACAAAGAAGAACAUACGGACUUCUUUACAAGCCACGUGACUAUAUUAAAUUACGAAAGCAGAAGGUUCAAAUUUGAUACCUUAUGGCAGUAUGCACGGGCGACCAAAUUGUUGAUAUGUUUGACAAAAAAAGCUUGUAUAGCACCAUUCUUCUCCCGCUUGAUGUACUCCAAGUAAUUCGUAUGAACAACACCUACCACGUGAUCAAACUUGUCGGUCCACCGCUUUCCAUGGUGGUACCAGUUUAGGUGCUCUGGUUCCUCCAAUAUGGCAAUGUCAGCUUCCUUCGAGGAGAUGAACUGUGAAGUGUCACCAGCAGGAAUAAUGCUUCGCCGUUCUUUUGAGAACUAUCAUUCAAGAGAGUAAAUAAGAAACUGUUAAAGCAUAUUGAAGACUAAUAAGAAUUAUAAAAUGGAUCAUAAUGCACUAAAUAAAUGACUACCUUUCCAGGAUAAAAAGAGAUCUUGAAAUCUGCCUUAAAGCCGAUUCUUUCCUCCAGCCAAUUCCGUAUAUAGGCCUCCUGCUCCCCUGGAGAGCUGAAAGCCAUGUUGUUGGGAUAAACCAGUUGUUGGUCUGACUUACAAAGCCAAGGGACCACCAACGUUACGUCCUGCUUAGCUGAUUUAGCCAAAUAUGCAGCUCGAAAAAGUGGAUUUACAGCAGUUCCAGUCAUCCAGGGAAGACUAGCAGUUGUAAAAAUUGCAACAUGGCGCUUAUGAUCUGUCCUAUCAUGCUUUACAGCAUUACUCCAAAGCCCUCCCUCAUCACAGUGAUGGCCAGUACUUUGCAGCACACUAGCUAUUCGUAGGUCAAGUUCGUCGCUUAUAGUCUCAUUUCCACAUAAGGAUGUUCCAUUUUGACUAACAGGAUUAUAUAGAAGGUGGUCUUUGUGUUUACUGCAUAGGGCCUCCACUAUUUUGUCGCAAAUGUCUACACCCAGAAGAUAUGUUUCUAGGUAAAAGAUGUGGUAUCUUUAAAAGUCAAAAAAAAAAAAAAACAAAAAAAACAAAAGAGAAUGCUAGGUCUGAAGAAAUAUUAUUAAAAAAAAUAAAAUUUUAAAAAAACACACAAUGAUAUGCAUAAACAUCCUGUAUAUUAACAAGUCACAAGUUAGACUGAGUAAACAAAGUUUUGGUUUCAUACCUCUUUUGAUGCCAAACUGAUCAAACAAUGGUCCAGAUUGUUUAACAAGAUAUGCCAAAAGCUCAGGUAUAUCCAAAGGCGGAACUUCCUGUAUGAAUCAACAAAAUGCAUUUGCUCUUGAAUCAUUAUCGAAUAAAAGUAGUACAUUAUUAAAUGAAAGUAUCAAAAUGAAGAUAAUAAUGUGACAAACCUUGGAUUGUUCAGGCUCUUUGCACAUUGACUUCUGCAAAGAAACCAAAAACAGAUAUAAGUAUGGCGACUCUGAGUUAAGAUAUAUAUAUAUAUAUAUAUAUAUAUAUAUAUAUAUAUAUAUAUAUAUAUGCAAGAAGAGAAACACGGGAUAAGAAUAAAGUUAAACAUAUGAGGAUGUAUAAAUUAAUCCAUGCAUUUACUCUGCAUGUGGGGUUGAUAAAACAAUAGAUUGUGUUAUCAUUAACUGCAAGUAGAAAAAUAAUGGUGAUACACAUAAACAUAUCAUACCUAGACAAACAAAAAUACAAGUAUUCCACUAAUACUUGGAUGAGCAAUUUAGCAAACUAAAAACACAAAACUAAACCUCAGGAGAAGUAACUUUGAGAGUCAAUAUCAAUUUGCUAGUAUGUGGGCAUGUUCUUGAAAUAAGAAGAAUAAAAUAGUCAAAGGACAAUCAAACAAAAAAAUCUCAGAAAAAUAGAAAAGCUAGAGCUAUUUAAGAGAACAUAGUUUAAGUCCUGAAUGAGCAAGGGAGUAAAACGUUCUGACAUGUAAUUGUAUGUUUCCCUGCAGUUAGUCCAUUUGCGUUAUUUGCGGAAAUGACACAUCUAAAGAAGGGACCAAAUAGUCACAAACUAUCAUUCUUAGAGCAUGAUGACCAGCACAGACUGAAGCUACGGAAUGUCGUUACCCUAUGGACUGUUUGCCAUGAAAAAUCUUGAAAUAAAGUUCAAGAAUUGAUGUCCAAAGUUCAAAGAUUGAUGAUUAAAGAAAAAUUUCUAAAGAAUACAGGACUACUAGUCCCUGCCGAACAAUGCAUCCAGACUUAAUUUAAUUGGAAUUAUGGGAAUACGAUAAGUGAUGUCCAUGAGUAGCUGAUAUCCUAUUCUACUGAUCAAUUGUUUUGCAAUAGAAUACAAAUGCCAAUCUCAUCACGGAAUAAUCUUUGUAUGCUACAAGCUUGAUAAUUCUAUCUAUCGCUGUAAAAAUCAUCCAUCAUAUUUAUCCUUAAUUAAUUUCACAAUGAACAACAUAGAAGCCCCGAAAUAAAAUAUUUAACAUACUGUACGUACUAAGAAUCUAGCCAUGAAAACCCUAGAGCGACAUAAAGAAAACAAAGAGGAUAGAGGAAGGGGCAUUACCAAGCUCAUUUUAAUUUUCUCAACAAAUUCGUUGCUCUUGAAAUUCCCAAAGAUCUCAUUCGGCUGGCUCUUCCUCUCGAACUCCUUUAACCCAGUCUUUAACAUACGGAUCGGCUCCCACUCCUUGCCCUCCUCUUCCUCCUCCCGCUCUCGAUCCUUCCACAGAACCUUCCUCUGCCCCCGAAACCUUUCCUUCCCCAAAUCCAGCGCGCCUCCCACCUCAUCCACCUCCGCCACAAUCGCUUUCUUUAUGGCCGAGAGAUCGACCCGUAUCGUCGAUUUGGGGCUCCACCUCUCGAGCACCUUCCGGCUGAAAUCCGGCGACGAGUACGCGCGCCGUAUUUCGGAGAGCUUCGGCUGGAUCCGCUUCACGAACUCGAGCUCGACGAUCGACCCCUCCGCCGCGGGGCGCGCCGGGGCCGAGAACGCCGACGCCGAGUGGAGGAAGUUCUCGAGCUCGCGGUCGGCGAGGUUCUUCAAGGAGUCGGCGCGGGCCCGCAUCAGGCGGAGGUCGGCGUCGGCGGAGUCGCGGACGUCGCGCCACCCCUUGGAGAAGAAGGAGAAGGCCUUCUCCGCCGUGCCGGAGCUCGCCGCCGAGGGCCUCGUGUCCAUGCCGAGGUUGAUCAUGGCUAAUCUAGGGUUAGGGUACUCGGUUUUCUUCUCCGUGUUCUCGCGCUCUCUAUUAGGGGAUGCGAUCGUGUGGAGCGCGCAAGAGAGAAUACACCACGGAAGCGACGAGGGGAAAGAGGAGAGGAGGAGAAGCAGCGAGGUCCAUUUUUAUCGUGAAACUGUACAGGGUCCACGAGGAGAUUUUAGCAGGGCGGGGUUUGCUGACGUGGCGGAGACGGAACGCGAGAUGAUGACGUGGCCAGUUGUGGUUGGUGGGUGUAUGAUGAACAGGUGAUCUUUUUUUUGUAGAAUAUUCUCGAAGGGCGGGGGGGAAUAUCCUGCGGUCGAGGGACGUUCGACGGCCCGAGUCCGUGGAGGUGAUUGGUGCGUGUUUGUUGAUCCGAACUAGACCGGUUCUACAUUCAAAAUCCAUUUAUAUGUUCUUUAAAUUUUAAAUAUGAAAAAUUCGUACAAUUUUCUUUUAAAAACAAAUCGCCCGAUUGAUCCAAAUUUUGGCUAAUUGUUUUUACGGCUAAAUUAUAUUAAAGUCAUUAGAAAUCAUAUGCGGCGUGUCCAAAUUAAUUCACCUGUUUUAAAGUAUUACCAAAAUAUUGGUGAUACUUUCUGAACUGUCUAAAAGAUUCUUCCAACACAAUUAACUAUCUAUAAAUAAAGUUUGAAAAAUCAAUUCACUAAUUAAUCGGUCGAGACUAAUCCAUUAAUUGUACUUAAUAAGUAUGUUUACUUAUUAAGGCACGAGAAACAUAUUUAAGUGCUGCAGCAACAAUCGACCAUCUCUUGCGUAAGUGGCAAAAGACUUGGUUGUUGAUAUCCGAUGUUCUAAAUUCGAAUCCUAAUUGAUUCAUAUUUUCAUCUAAANUUCUUUACUUUUAUUUAUUUUAUUUUUAUUACUUUACUUAUUUACUAUAUUAAGGAACUAUUUGAUUAGAUAUAAUUAUAAAUACAGUGUAGUUAGAAAUACAUAUAGUUAAAAAUACAGCAAUUACAACUACAUACAUUCUAUACAGAGGAGUGUGGAGAGGGUUGCCGUAUGCUUAUGGGUUCCGGAUUCAUCAUUCAUGUAUGGUAUAUAAAUGAAAUUUUAAUUUUAUUAUAUAGACUAUUAAAAAAUAGGAUUGGUCCAUGUGAUAAAAUUUUAUACUUAAUAUAAGCAAAAAUAAAAAAGAAAAGGUGUUGAGAGAAAAAAAAAAUUAAAAAAAAAAGGUGCAGGGUGUGAGAGAAAAAAAAAAAGGUGGGCCUAUAUGUAUAUAUAGUGUAGAGCUACUAUACUAUCGGAAGUAUAGAGGAUCUAAUGUUUCCAACUUUUUGAUCAUUGGAUCAAAAAUUAUACGGUUGAGAUGAUUGCGGCUCUCUCAGGAUUGAGUAGUACCCCUAGGGUUGAGUGGUCCCUACAGGGUAAUAGCAUUAAUCCAAGGUUAAAAAUGAUCAAAGGUAUUGAUCUAAGGGCCAAAAAAUUGAAAGUACCAGAUCCUCUAAGCUUCCGAUAGCAUAGUAGCUCUACUAUAUAUAUAUAUAGAGAGAGAGAGAGCACUAGGCUCCUAUGCUUUCGAAAGUACAGAAGUGUCCGUACUUGUAAGUUGUUUUCAAUAAUGGUACAUCCGAUUCGGCGAUCAGUUCCGUUAGAUAUGAUCUACGCUAUUAGAACUACCUAGAAACUAAAUUUCAUAAUUUUUUGACUUCGUUUGUCUAAUAAACGAGUAGCCUCAAAAUGAACGGCUGAAAAUAAAAAUCUCAUAAAAAACAGUGAUUAUAGCGAAUUAUUUACAAAGAUUUAUUUGUUAUAUCAAAUUAAGGUGCCGUCUGAUUUAAAGUUUAUAAUAUUUAAAAGAUAUCACAUAUUUUAUAUUUAGAAUAACAAGUCUGUUACUAAUUUAUCAAGUCACUUAGAUUGAAAAGUUGUUAAACACUAGUAUAUAUUUAUUAAUGAAAAUAAUAAUUCCACUGCUUCACUAACAAGUUUUACAACUACCCAAUUUGAGCUAUUAAUAAUAAUUUGAAUAUUUUUAAUAGAAAAUAUAGAAGAAUAUCGAAAUAUUACAAACUGUGAACCAAACGAGACAUGAGAGUAAACUUCAAUUUCUCUACCGGUGCCUCUAAUUUAUUUUUUAUCUUAUCAUUUUAUAGUUCAAAAAAUUAUACUUAACUAUUUUAAAAGUUAACUGAUUUUUAUUUUAUCAUCAUGUAAUUUAAAAAAUUAUACGUAAUAUUUGAUGAACUAGGAUUUAAUUGGAUGGGUGGAUAUGUGGAAAAUUUGGGGACCGAAAAAAAAAAAAAAAAAAAAAAUUCAUUCCAAUGGAUCUAAUCAGAUCAGUAUGUGUCAAAUCUAGGACAAGAAAAAGAAAGAAAAUAUAAUCGUUCGAUGCAUUAGAUUGUGUUUACGUAUUCGUAUUUGUAUAAAAUCAAUAGAAGCAACGACGAUCCUUUACCUGGAUUUUAAUGAAAAGAAUACUUCGAAUAUGUUAGAAAUCCCUAGACAUCUUUUACCCAAAAAAUUUUUUCGGUUUUGAUAAUAACUAUGUUAUAUUUGAUAUUAUUUUUUUGAUAAUAUUUCAUUAUCUUAUUUCAUUNAAUGAAUACUAACUUGAUACAUUUAAACCACAGGGUAAUAAAGUGAAAAAAUGUGAAACCAUAGGAACGGUAUUUGAAAUUUAUCCUUUUUAGAAAGAGCAUCUAUCCACAUAGCAUAUAAGGUUGCAAUUUAUUAUUGCGUAAAAUAAAUUCAACAUACUAUCUAUAAUAAUAAUAGAUUCAAAAGAUUAAUCAGUUAAGUUGGGUUGAACUUAAAAAGUUAAAUAGGACUGCGAUUCACAAUAGACCUAAUGACAAAAGACAUAAUAAUAAAUCUAACGUUUAGAUAAUUUGAGUCAUAUCGAAAUUUUUAAAUGCGGUAGUUGAGUCCUUUAAGUAAGAUUAGCGCUCUUUAUAUGAUAGCAUAAGUCAGAGCCUUUUCUUUAGUACAGUGGCAAGUCCAAUUAUCAAUACGUAAGACAUGACGUAUAAUUAAUUAAAAGAAUUUUUAGUUAUUAUGGAUGGAGAUAAAAUUAGGAGAGAGAUUUGGGCAAAAUUUUUAAUCUUUAUCUAAUUUUAUUUAAAAAGUUAUUGCUAAAAAUAAUUAAAUUUUUUUAUAAAUUUGUACGAACUAGAUUUUUUUUUUCUAAAAUUAAUUUAUUUUUUAAAAAAUAAUUAUUUCUAGUUAACAACUAGUAGAAAUAAGAAAAUAGAUUUCGGUUCCCAGAUUGAUGCGAAGGCUUCUGAUUAACUUGCACAUGUGAUUCAAAAAUAUCACACAGAUUGUCUUUUUUUUUUUUUAUAUCGCACAGAUUGUCUCUUUUUUUUUUUAGAGAGAAAGGUAGCAUGCUAUCCGCUUCGUUUAUUUUAUUUAGAAAUAAACUUAGCUGAAAAUGUGAAUCAACUAGGAUUCGAACUUGAGUCUCGGAUACCAACUACCAAGCUCUUUGCCACUUGCUUUAGGAACGGUCGGUAUAUCGCACAGAUUGUCAAUAUAUUAAUAAUAUAUAAAACUAGUAUUGUCAAAACCUGUAGCAAUGCUCAAUACAUAAAUAUUGCCUCGGCAAGGUGUGUCCUUAAAAUUGACAAACCUUAUUAAAUAUUUGAAGUUGAAUAUCGUGAAAUUAAAAUUUGAUUUAACAAAUGUGAGUUAUAAUAUAUAAAGAGUCCGUAGAACAAAAAUAAAUAAAUAUAUAAUCAUUAAAAUACGAUAUUGGCGUCCAAAAUUUGUGAUUUUUAACAUGGUGGACUUUUAUAUGUUACGGAACAAACUAACUCAAUUAGAUUCUAAUAAUGAGAUCUGUAUUAUGUAGAGCUCAAAUGCUUUAAUUGGAUGUUUGGUACAAUUCACAAUAUAUAUAGGGAUAACUUCAAAAAACCCCCCCCUGUGGUUUUCAACUUUCUCACUUUAGUACCCUAUGGUUUAAAAUGUAUCAAUUUGCCCUCCUGUAGUUUCGUUUUUCUUUUUUUUUUAUCAAUUUUAUUAUUUUUUUCCUCAAAUCAAUGACAAAAUUAAAAUUAAAGGGUACUAAAGUAAAUAUUCGGUAAAUCUAGAUAGAUAUCUGAUAUUUUUUUGCAUAUAAUUUAACGAAAUAUUAAGAAAAAAGCUAUAAAAAAGGUAAAAACAAAACCACAGGGGGGGCAAAUUGAUACACUUUAAAGUAUAGGGUACUAAAAUGAGAAAGUUGGAAACCACGGGUGGUUUUUUGAAGUUUUCUCAUAUAUAUAUAUAUGAGCUACUAUGCUUUCGAAAGUAUAAGAGAAUUGGUGCUUCCGACUUCUUUUAUCUUUGAUUAAGGAUUGUACGAUUGGAAUGAUAAUAGUUUCCUAAGGAUCGAGUUGUUUCCUUAGAGUUGAGUGGUUUCCAGAGGAUAUAUAAUAAUAUUAAUCCAAAUAUUAGAAAUGGUCAAGGGGGUUGAUCCAAGGGUCAAAAAGUCAGAAGCACAACUCCUUUAUACUUCCGAAAGUAUAAUAGUUCUACUAUUAUAUAUAUAGAGUCUGGUUGGGAUACUAUCGAUGGCACCAAGCGUUUGGUGCUAUCGAGUUUUCCGCCGUUAAAUUUAACCCAUCGACUAUUUUCACCCGUUAAAUUAUACUAUUAAACCAAUAACUUACUCAACCUUAGAGAGCCCAUAUCAUCAUAACCAUACUUUUUUUCAUGCAAUGGCUAAAAACCUAAUAGUACCAAUAACUUGGUGCUAUUGAUAGUAUAACAACCUAGUUCUAUAUAUAUAUAUAUAUAUAUAUAUAUAUAUAUAUAUAUAUAUAUAUAUAUAUAUAUAUUAUAUAUAUAUAUAUAUACACACACACACACAAACACACACGGAGUCCGGCUACUAUACUAUCAGUAGUACCAAAUUCUUAGUACUAUCGAGUUUUCUGCCGUUAGAUCUACUCUUUGAUUAUUUUUAUCCGUUAAAUUAUACUAUUCAACGAACCACCCACUUAGUUCUAGAGGAUCACUAUCAUCCCAACCGCAUGUUCUUUCGUCCAACGGUCGAAAAUUCAAUAUUAUCAAGUGAUCAAUUUUACCAAGCUGUGGUUGGACUUUUGAAAUCGGAUUACAUUUUUCUUAAUAUAAAUAAGAUUCCUAGAAGUUUCCCAAAAAAGUAAUAAUAAUAAAAAAAAUACUCUAGGUCAAAAGGAGCUUCCCACUUCGUAUGAAAUUGCACUGAAAAAUGACAAUUGUUUUAAUAAUUUAGUGAUAUAAUUGUUCACAGUGUGACAUAUUUCCCCCUUGAAUAAAAGAGGGUAUUUUUCAAAUAAUAAUAGAAACAUAAGGAAGUGGUAUUACUCCCAUGAAUCUCAUGUGCAACAUAGAUUUUCCAAGUAAAGAGGAAUUGAAGAGAUGCAUUAUUAAUGUUUGAGGAGAAUAAGUAUACUUUGAAAAGAACCAACUUCAAGAGUAGGUCAAGUUGUUGAUUAUUUCCUCUCCCCUCUUCCUCUCUUCAACUUUUUUGACAAGCUUUUCAAUGUCAAAUAAAGCCAUCAACCAAGCAAGUGCACAAGAAGCUCACUUCAACAAUUUGAAAGUCAACUGAUUGUUUUUUAUAAUAAAUAAUAAUAAUAAUAAUAAUGAUAAUAUAUAAUAAUUUAUUAUUAUACUAUUCAGAGUAUAUGGAUAGUAUUUACUAUUUAAUUUUUUUUAUUUUUGAAUUAUUAUUAUUUCACCUACUUCAACGACAUUCUAAAUAUUUAAUGAUAAAAAAAUUGAUAGUAAACAUUAUUCUCAUAUUAUGAAUAGUAUUUUAACUUAAUUCAAAUCAGUCUUUUAUAUAUAAUAUAUAUUAGCGAUAGUAUAUGAAUAAUAUUUAUUAUAUUUCAAUUUUUUAACUAUUGUAUUAAUACUAUUCCACCGAAUUCCACUAAACCCUAGGCAUAAAUGUAUCAUCGAAAUAAUAAUUUCAUUGCAAUUCACUACAAAAACCACAUUUCCACUGUAUUGGUUAAAUACUCAUUAGUCACGUACGUGAUCCAACAUAGGUUAAAUUUCCAGUAAAAUGAUCAUCUUAUUCUGGACAAAAAACAACUAGAUAGUUAAUUAUUCUAAUGAACAUAUCAAGAUUGUAAACAUAUAGAGACUAUUCGUAAAUUUUAAUGCAUUUUACGAAAGAAAACAUUAUAAAACUUGGUAGGGUACCUUACAAAUAAUUCUUAUUACUUAGGGCAUUAAAAGCACCACAUUAUUUUUCAUCUCAAAUCUUUAUGUACAAGCUCAAAGUCCAUCAAUUUUGAUUGUUAUAUAUUUAGCAAACACCCUUUGUUUUCCCGCUUAGCAAAGGCACACUCUUUUGAAUCCCUCCUACCUCUUGCUUCACAACCUUAACCAUUGGCUCAUCCCCCGCAUUCUCGCCAGGUCCAAAUUCGAUCGUGUACCGUAUCAUGGGCACCGGCGCCCUGAUCAUCGAAUCGAGCUCCUUUAAUGCCAUUUUGACGUGCAAGAGGAACUUCUCGGCCAAAGUUCGGCCGAAAUCCUCACGAAUGACCACCCGAAGGACCGUCGUGUUUUCCAGAUCGGGCGGCAAAGUGUAAGCAGGGACGAUCCAGCCAAACCUCCGCAGGAGGUUAGAGAACUUGUAGGCCAGAGUUUUGUCUCUCUCUUUGAAUGAGAAUGCCACUAGUGGCACUCCUUGUUCCUUCGAGAUUAUGUCGAAGUGGCGCGCCCGUCGCGUCGAGCCCUUCUCGGAGGAUCUUAGCACUCUCCAUGCAGUUAUUCAUCACAUUCCUAUAACCCUGGAGGAGUCACAACAUUCAUUUGUACUCUCUAAUUUAAAUCAAAAACUUUCAUUUAUUAUUGGUAUUGUUUGUAGCCAUGUGGUGUGUCCACAUUGGCGGGUUUUAAUUUAACCCGAUCCACUUAGAAUGUGGAUUAGGGCUUAUCCUAAUAGGUUUAGGAUAAUAAUAAAUUAUAUGUUUCUUAUCAGUUAAGAAAUAUAUCUACUAGAGGAUAUCUAUCAUAUCCUAGUUCUUAUCCUAAUCUCUUUGUGAGAUUCAGGAUAUUUAGGGGUUCCGUUAUUCUAUAUAUACGUCCCCUUGUUUCUCCCAUCUGAGACGAUUGAUAUUCGAAUUAAUUCAAUAUUCCAUUAUUCUCUCUUUUCUUCCUCUCUGGGAUCUCCAACUACGUUCCCGGGGUUUUGGAGUGUGGACAUAGAAGAGGACUCUGGUAGCCCUCUUCGAUCGGCAUCCGUCGCAUCAAAUCCGCAUCCGAUCCGUGGCGUAAGGCGUACGCGAAGGAAAAGGCGAGAAACGUGGGAGAUCCAGAAGCAUCGAGACAAGGACGAUCCAAGAAGGCUUGUAAAACAAGUAAUUCGAUCCGAUUCGGGCUCCCGGAUAAGUUGGCUAUCCGGUUUGUAAGUUUCCGCUGCCUAUUAUUUCCAACAAUUUAUAUGUAGUUUAAAGUAUAAUGUACACAAAUUUAAACAAUCUAAGAGAUUUUGGGAUUUUUGUCCAAAAAUUUUGUCUAAUAAACAUUGUAGCCAUACAUACAUAAAAGGAUCAUUGUUUUGUUCAAAUUAUAGAAAGAAUAUGUACAUCGAAACCUAACCGUAGGAACUGAUAAUAUUGAGCGGUUAUUUGACUAGAACCUGCACCCAAAAUGAGAAUUUAUUAGAAAUUCUUCGACAAAGAUUCGAAUACAAUCAUACAAGUAUGCAUAAAAAGUGCAUUGCCACUACACAAAUAUAAACUAAUUUGUACAAACAUUCGCGCAAUUUCCAAUUUAAAAGUGUACAAAAAAAGUAUAAUGCUUUUGUAAUUUACUGCUACGUAGUCAGAAUGCUUUGCACUCUUUGUAGUUUUAGUUUUAUUUUAACGUAAGAACGUGCCAGUACGAGGCGAUAUAAUAGUAAAGCGUAAAUCGCAGAAUUAAAAAGUGUUAUAUUUUGAUUAUAUGUAACUUAUAAAGUAUAGCAUGGUACGGUCCUUAUUCGAUGCAAAUCUUUUCGAAAAAGUUAAAGAAAAUCAAAUCAGAAGUACAAAAUAUCAUACUGCAAAUAAAUAAUAGUAAACUGCUGAUGCACUAUAUAUAUAUAGAGUCCGGCUACUAUNUUACUUGUGUAGCAAUUUUGUAUUUUAUAUAUAUAUAUAUAUAUAUAUAUAUAUAUAUAUAUGAGUAGAGCUAGAAUACUUGUAAAAGUAGCAUGGGAGUGAUACUUGUGUGUUUUUAGCCCUUGGAUGGAGAGAUGUGAGGUUGAGAUGAUGGUGGUAGGCGGUGGUAGGUGGUGGUAGGUGGAAUAGUGUUUGAUCUAAAGGCUAUUAGUAAUCAAAAAGUAGAUCCAAUAGUUAAAAACACACAAGUAUCACUUGAGUGAUACUUGUAAAAGUAUUCUAGCCCUACUCUAUAUAUAUAUAUAUAUACUUUUGAGGUAGCAUACAGUUUUUAAAUUAAUUGCACCACUUAUUCCCACUCUCUUUUUCGUUGAAUCCGAUACUUAAUCUUCUAGUAGAAUUAUUAUGCCAUUGGUCCCUACUCUUUAUUUGUCUUUUCACUUUGAUUUUGAAUCUCUUUUUCUGUGUGCGCAUUCUAUCGCGUCAAAUCCAGUUUAAUCACCUUCAAUGAUGUUCUCCGUACUUAAGACCAUCUUAAUCUCGCAUGCGACACUUAUAUUUAAAAUAUCUAACCAUUUUGGCAUUCAAUCAUGUGUGACAUUGAUAUCUAAUGCUCUAUUUAGAAUUGCAGAAAAAUAGUGUUACAUACGAUGAAAAAAUUUGAUAAAAAAUAUUAUAUUUGUUUCCGAACAGUAGAUAACAUUUUAUACUAUUUUAUUGCAAAACGUAAAAGUAAAUUUCAAUAUGCUUCCGUUCUAAUUCUGUUUAGUCUAUUAGUAUUAGAGAUGCUUCAAUACCAAACGGAUUCAAAAAAUAAUGAAAUUAAUGUAUGAUUUGAUCCGGCGUGACAUACCCUAUCAAAAUAACUUUAAAAAAUUUGAAUAGUUGGAUCGAGCUGAAACAAAAUAUAGAGGUAUGGAACCUAAAAAUACGAAAAAAAAAAAAAAAAACAAUAAUCAAACAGAAAAAUGAAAUGGUGAUAAUUGGGAGACCAAUAGUGUAAUUAAUAAUUAAUGUGUUUUAUUUUUUAACGAAGUGGAACCGUUUUUCCGCCGAUCCCGUAGGCCCGAGCUUCCUCCGCUCACCACGCCGCGGAGCUACUCCACGUGUCACCCAUCAACGCCUCCACGUGUCCACUUUCACCGGAUCUUUUUUUUUUAAUUUCUAUUUUUAUUUUUAUUUACCGUGGAAUGAAAACCUCUCCUCUUUCUUAAAAAGGCUAAAACCCUAUUUUCUAAUUCUUUUCAUAUACGCACCAAUCAAAUCAAAUCAAAUCAAAUCAAAUCGAAUCAGCGAGAUGGUGGUGACGACGACGACGACGGAUACCGCGGAGUCGUUGCACUCCACCUUCGCCUCCCGUUACGUGCGCGCACUGCUUCCCAGGUUCGAUUUUUUUUUUUUGUCUGCAAAAAUUUAAGUACCGUGACACAAAAUCAUAUAUAAUAAUAUUAUAUAUUAUUAUUGCUAUGAUAAUUCUAAAGUAAUAAUAAUUAGGUAUAAGAUUCCGGAGAGGGUGAUACCGAAGGAUGCGGCGUACCAGAUAAUCAACGACGAGCUGAUGCUGGACGGGAACCCGCGGCUGAACCUGGCGUCGUUCGUGACGACGUGGAUGGAGCCCGAGUGCGACCGCCUCGUCAUGGCCGCCCUCAACAAGAACUACGUCGACAUGGACGAGUACCCCGUCACUACCGAGCUCCAGGUUCAAAACGAAUAUGAAUAUUACGUAUAGAAACAAACAGACACUCUCAAUAAUAUAGUAAAGGAUUAAUUUUAUACAGAUCCUUGCAAACAUAAUAAAUGACAAGUAAAUUUCUAUAAAGUUUAAUUUUUAUAUAUUGUUCNCUCCUUCGAUAUCGAGCUCGUUCCCAGCUCGUACCUGUACUACUCUUCCAAAAUUAUCUCUCUUUUCUUACAACAAUAAUCUCCUAACGUAGGCGCAGAACUAUUUUAAUCUUAAACUCGCUCAACUCUUUUAACCUGUUAAGUCUAAUCAUCAUUCAAAAUAUUAUAGUUUGAUUCAGAGGUUUAAUUCUACCAUACAUUACCGAUCGUCCCUAGAGUAAGUGGCAAAGGGCUCGGUGGUUGGUACCCGAGACCUAAGUUUGAAUCAUAAUUGAUUCACAUUUCUAGCCAAGUUUAUUUCUAAAUGAAAUAAACGAAACAGGUAGCGUGCUACUUAUCUCUCAAAAAAAAAAAAAAAAAUCUACCAUACAUUAUAUAUAUAACUAUUUCAAAUCCUAAGAAUGUAUUAGAAUCAAAAUAACAACAUCAUAGCAACAUCAUAGCACGUAAGUGAUACAGACAAAAUUGUAAGAACAAAUGUAAUAGAAGGCCCUCAUAACUUCAAAAGUUUACGAAAAAAAAGCAAUUAUAAAANUCUCUGCGGACUACAACAAAAACUCGAUUUUUUCCCCAAAAAAAUUUUACGAACAACCAAACAUGGAGAAAAAAAUUUUCAACUGAAAUUUUUUUUUAGAGGGGUUUAACAUAGAUCCAAACACUCGUGAGUUCGGCGGCAAGAACCGCGAAGGAGGAGGACGACGAAGACGACAUGGACGAGUUGGCGACGAGAGCGGCGACGACGCUACUCGUGAGUCCGCCACCGCCUUUUUUUGGGUGAAUCGUUCGGGAAUCGCGAAUAAUUCGCGAAUAAUUAUUUUUGAUAAAAAAAUGCAUCUUUUUUUGAAUUUUUCGAAAAAAUACGGAUACGGGCGUUUAAUUCGGUUAUUCAAAAAUUUGCAAACAAUUUGCAAAUUAUAUGCGAAUUAACUAACAAUGGGUGUCAGCCGUAGACCCCACCAUUAGAAAUAGUUCUUUUUUUUUUUUGCAAAGAUAGGUAGCAUGCUGGAAAUGUGAAUCAACUAGAAUUCAAAUUUAGAAGAUCGCGAAUACCAACCACCAAGUCUUACGAAAAUAUGUGUUUAGUGGCAGUGGGUGACUCGUAGCGCGAGUUGGUUUGUUCCGGGAUAGUUCGUGGGUCCCGGCGGAGUCCCGAUGCGGUUUUCGGGACUUCCGGCGUGUUCGGCAAUCGGUUUUGGGAAACCGAUUUCCUUAGAUUCGUUGGUGGGGAUUGUAAGUUAGCAUUUUGUGUUCAUGGGUUGGAUUCUAACUCGGUGGGCCCUUCGUAGGUCCGGUUGUUUCGUCUCCGCGGUCAAGGGUCCAGUGCCAGAUACGUAUAGGUAGGUACUUCGAUCCGAAGUCGGUACAGUGGUGCACGCUGGGUGAUAUCUUCUUAGCCUUACUUUCUCGUUAUUACUCCACAUGCAUAUAUUAUAUGUUGAGCCUAGCACCUAUACCAUAUUUCCUUAUUGCUCUACUUAGUUGUUUUACAUAUCCUGUUUCAUGUUUAGAGUAGAACAUUUGCGUGAUUAUUUGUGAUAUCUGUGACCUGGUUGGUCGGUUCCAGUAUCCCGUAUCUGUGACCCAUUGGUUCGGUUUAUUGCAAUGCUAUCGUGACCUAUUUGGUCGGUUGGACUAUUUGAUGACCUAUACGGUCGGUACGCCUUGAGGGGCAGGAUUGUCGGUAGUUGCCGACGGUUGGUUAUUGAGCAUAUCAGUAUUGAUCGCUCGAGACUCGUACGCAUUUCACGAACACCAGCUGUUUGAUCCACCGCAAGAGGGUGUUCUUUUUCGGAAAAGUGGUUCGAUGUGCCAACCCGUGAGCCCAGCUGUCAUGCCGUGGACUUCAGCGGAAGCUUACCAGUUACGUGCACAGACCCACCGUGUACACCACAACCUAAAGUGUACACUAGGCGUCUACAGUCAGCAUAGAAAAAGCAUAAUAUCUUAACCAGGUAAUCAAAGAAAAACUUAAAAGUUCAAAAACUUAUACUACACAUAACCUUAUUACAACUGAAUAGAACAAGUACAAUCUACAUAACCCAAUAUACAUCACUAAACUAAACUGCAUAAACUUGUAGAGGUUUGUCUAUUUAAAAUCGAGAAGGCUCUAGCUAGCCGCUGACCCCUCGCCGGGAACCCUAGCCUUUCCCACUGCGGAAGACUUUGCAUAAAAAUAAUCAACAAAAGGGCGUGAGAACUAUUAAACAAUAGUUCCUAGUAGGUAAGCUGCCGAGAGUGGUGAAGUAUACCACUAGGUCAACUGAGGCAUGUAUAAACAACAAUAAGUAAGUACAGUAAAUGCAACAAGUAAAUGAAGUAAAACAACUAUAGUAUGCCUCGCAAGAUAUGUUUUCUAACUUGUCUUAUGUACUAGUUUAUUAUAACAAGUUCUAUAAUACAUGCUAAUUAACAAUUUAAUUAGCUAUAUGUCAGGCUGUAUGCAAAAUAUCAUCAUUAUAAUUUAGCUAGCUAAUAUCAUAUAGCUAUUUCCCUAUCCUAUCAAGAGUGUAAACAUUCAGGAACUGUCACUAAACUAUUGACCAACAGGGAUGUCAAUCUUCUAGUAUGCUCAUUACUAGGUAUACUCAACUGAUGAUAUAAAAUAUCUUUACUACUAUGUCCAUCUAAGGUUAAAGUUCUUAACAUUAACCCAAUUAACAAGAGACUUACAAAUGGUAAAGUCCCAGCUCGUGUCGUGCCUAAUGGCCCGUGGAAGUCAACACUACCCACAACAAUCUACUUCGGAGCUCAGUCUCAGACGGAAGCAAGCAAUCUUUCGCUAGGCUAACUCCGGAGUACCGGCUUGUGGGGUGCGACCCUCACAAGCAUGUGUGAAUGAGCACAUCGGCAAGCAAGCAUAAUCCAUAGCAUAGAUAUCAUAAGUUCAUCAUAUCUCUAACAUGGAAUCUUAACUCGACACCAGGUCGACAAAUAAUACUAAGUCAUAGUCCACUAUCAACUACUUGGUGAUAUGUUUCUAGUAAUAGAUAGUAUGACUCAAAUAAGUACAUACUUUACAUCAUAUUGAUGAUUCUAACGGGCUAUACCCUCAUAUUCACAUAUAGUUCUCUCACUACUCUCUAUACAUAAGAAAAGUGGUUUACUGAGGUCAUAUUCAAUGGCUCCUUCUAGUAUUCAUAUGACUCAUGGCACAUAUUCUAUAGUUUUACAAAAACCUCCACUAUCUGGAGUAAACAAGUAUCAUGCAAGUAAUUUUUCUUGACUAUACAAGUAUGACAUCAUAUCCAAUUCUAGUUAUUUAACUAGAUUGUAUUCAAUAGUAUAACAUUCAUGUUAUAACAUAAUGCCCAGUUCUAGUUACUUAACUAGAUCAUAUAUAAGAACAUGAAGUUCAUGCUUUUUCUACCAUGUAAAAACGAUACUCAGCUUGUUAACGCAAUUAGGCGACGCAUCACAUAAGGUACUCUAUAUACAUGGUUUCUACACAAUUCAUUUCAUAAUCUAGAAUUAUAGCCUUGUUAAACAGAAUAUGCACAAAAGUCCUGUCAUCUUGUCUACAACAUGGGAUUGCAUAGUUUAGCUCGAUGGUUGAGAAUAAUAUUAUCCUAUUGACUUAGUUGUUCAUCUAAACUAAAUGUCAUCAUCAUAACCUUACCUCCAUUUAUCAUUGCAUGAUGUGAUAUUUCACUUGUCUAUACAAGUAUGCUACUAUCAUAUAAUGCAUGCUAAGCAAACAGGCGAUCUAUACAUAAUAAGCAAAUUCCAUAAUUUCAUCUCUACCAUAUAGAGGUUUCCUUUAAUCCAACAUACUAUGCUUGUUAUACAUGCAACAAGACAUCCAAACAUAGAUUCACAGGAAUAUGCAAGAAUUUUCAAUUCCAUAAUGUCAAAGAAGACAUGGAGGGAAUUCACCCAUUUCGGUAAGGUCAAACCCACCAAGUACUCGACGACUCUCGUCGACCCCAUGAGCGAGGACAAUGCGCAGCCUCCAAGCACCCUGACAAUCAAUCCAAAAUCAGCUAAGGGCUGAAUUUGUAUUUCUACAUCAAGGUUCACAUAAACAUCCAUAUAAUUAUCUUACCUAGGUAAUUCUUACCUAGUAUAGUGUUACGGUUGGAAUCUCAACCUUGAUUAAGGUUGGAACACCAAAUUCAACCUUAGAAAGCUCCCAAAUCUCAGCUAAACAAGAUCAACUGGUCCGCUGUGAACAUGCUGUCUAGUAUAAAAACUGCUUUAAAUUUAGAAUCAUCUCAUUCAACUAAGGAACUACUAGGUAAUAUACCCUUUCACAGCGUCAACUUAGCUUUUCCCCUAGUUUCGAAUUGAAGAACCACAACAAAACCUCUUCUACAACUGCUGGUACCUUCUCCCAAACUAACUGUAACAAAAGGGACCAAAAACAACUCAAAUCCACUACUGGUAUCAACUAGAGAGAAGAAUAGUAUCACUCACGUUACCAAGACUUCAAUUCAGCUACCUGCUGCUAGGGUUGGGGAAAACUUAGUAAAAUACCAUCUCCCACGUUCCAAGAGCUAACCCUCAAGUCUCUAACCCAGCCAACACAAGAGAGGGGAAGAAAAAUGAGCUCAAAUCACCAAAUCUCACUUUAAACACCUCACCCUAGAGAGAGUAAGAGAGGUAUUCAAAUCUGUUUCUCUCAGCUCAAGCAACUUUAGAAUAGCUGCAGGGGUUGUGCAGGGGGAUUAGAGAUAAGCUUGGGAAGUAAAAUGACCAAAACAGCCCUAAUGUCACGCAGUUGCUGUGCUGGGUACUGGUACCCAUGCGUUCUGGUACCGGUACUCAAUACAGAAUGUUGAAUUUCGCCGUUUCGAUGCACUUUUGCUCUUCCGGCUACUUCGUCACUUCAGUAACUUGCCGAAAACCUCCCAAUAACCCUUCAAAAGAUGUGGAAUAGUUUCAAUUACUAUUCUAACACUCGAACUUUGCAAUUUGCUAAAGUUCAGUGUACUACACUAGCGGCCUAGGCUAGGUCAAAUGCAGGUAGAGUGGCAGUGGGUACAGGCUUGAGGUUUGCGGUGUGGACCAACAGAGCAUUGGUUUCAGAUUGGGUAUUUUUGGACUUGUCGUCCGUCCGGUUGAUGCACACAUACAAUAACAGUAUUGCUAUUGUAUUUCACUUACCCAUAUUUUUGUUUAUCCUCCUUGACUGGUGAGCACCCCUCGCCCUCGUCGGCUUGCGGUACCUACUGAGAGGGGAGACAUGUUUAUAUGUUCUCACCCCCGACCCCCAUUAUAGGUGACGUUGCAGGUCCUAGUGGGACGGUUCGUGAGGAGCGAGUCUAGCGACCGAUAGUAUCACCGUCCCGUUGUUGGUUAAUUAUCAAAUUUAGCUCUUUAAAUAAAUGACUUAAACAGUUAAUUGGUUCAGUUACUUAUCACCUUUGAAUUCAUAUGGUUUUAUGAAUGUAAUAAUGAAUUUGGGAUUUAUGUGAAAUGGAAAUAGUUUUCUACCCCUCAUGGUAGCGAAUUUUUAAAGAAAAAAGGGUUUCCGUGUGGGAAACUAUUUUUAAAAGAUUUUUUUGGUUUUCACGGUUUAGUAUUUUAAAAUGAGUUUCCGGGUAGAAAAUAUUUUAAAUUGAUAAAAUAUGAAUUGAUGAAUAUUUGUGAUGAAAUAAAUAUGGUUAUGAACGGUNGGAAAUAGUUUUCUACCCCUCAUGGUAGCGAAUUUUUAAAGAAAAAAGGGUUUCCGUGUGGGAAACUAUUUUUAAAAGAUUUUUUUGGUUUUCACGGUUUAGUAUUUUAAAAUGAGUUUCCGGGUAGAAAAUAUUUUAAAUUGAUAAAAUAUGAAUUGAUGAAUAUUUGUGAUGAAAUAAAUAUGGUUAUGAACGGUGUAUGAUUAUCUGUGGAUGUUCAUAUGUGUGGUUGUAUUUGGUAUAGUAAAAUGUAUCAUGUACUUUUACGAUGCUGUGCAAAUACAGGGGAGAUUCUGUCCAAGUGAACAGUGGACUUCCUGUAUUUGUGGCGGAUAUGGCAUACCCUAGGGGUCAAUAUUUUUUUUAAAAAAAAAUUGGGCACUUCUGCAUGGAAUUUUAAAUCCAAAGGGACCCCGGGAUGUGACAUCAUCUCAGGUUCCUCUUUCUCUUUGGUUUAAUUGUGGGCUUGGUGGAGGCCGUAGCUCGAGCUCGAGAAAUUUUCGACGUCGAUUUGGAAGGUCGUUCCAGUGUGCGUGCAUCGCGGUUGCGUCGUUGGAGGCCGAGCGAGCGCGUGUUUUCCUCUCCUUUCGACUUCUCGCCGUUGUUGGACGAGCGUUUUGAGGUGGUUUGAAGUUUACCGAAAUCGUCGCAAUACCUUCUAAGUUUUAGCAUCAUCGACAUGUAUCGUUUGUGUAUUUCCUUGCUAGUACUCGAAUUCAUGGAUUAAGUGUUUAAAUCUGAAUUUGGAGUUAAGCUAGUUAUAUCAUUUUACAUGUUGGACUUGGAAUUGACUGAGGAGAAAACUAUAGAUCCUACACUGUCAUUUUCUAAAAAUUUUCAGAUUUAGCUUUAGGAGCUAUGGUUUGUUUCUAUCAUUGCUGUUUGUAUGCAAUAGUUACCCAGAUUAGUAUAGGGUGAGUUUAUGCUCGUGCUGGAAUGCCGAGCUUGUUUUACAGUAGUGUGUAGACUAUUUCGUAAUAUCCGGUGCUGUUGGGAUUGACAUUGGACCCAGAUUUCUGUAGCACCGCUGUUAGUGCGAGGUGGAUGCUCGGAUGAGUAUAGGUUGAGUUUACGCUCGUGCUCAGGAGCCGAGUUUAUUUUACAGUAGUGCGUAGACUGUUCCAGACUGUCGGAUGCUAUCACGGUUGACAGUGGACCCAGAUUUCUAUAUUUGUAUCAUAUUGUGCCGAGGGCACGUGAGUUUUGGUUAUUACAUCAGUUAAACCCAUUUUCUUUGAUUAUAGCCUGUGAGAGCCUGAUUGAGCUCGACAGAGACACGCUUACAUAUUCAGUUGGGUAGCGCCCACGAGUGCCACUUCGGAGUUGUGCUUUGUGCAUUUGCGUAGAUGUCGUAGUGUCCAAUGUGGACUUGCUCUUCACCAAUUACCCAGCAUGUUGGUCGUUGGUGUAGCUUCGACAGGCAGGACGGGUGCGUUCACAGUACCUAGUGAGAGUUGGUUAGAGGUUGCAUCAUUCUUAUAUCUACAAAAUAGUGUUUAGUGAUAGUAUAGUGGCAUGUAGCUUUAGAGUUUUUUCAGCUUCCUUUACUAUCCUUGUGCAUAUUUUUCUGUAGAAUUAGUGGGUGGGUUGUUGAGGUUGGUAGCGGUACCCACUGAGCACUACUUCUUCUUGCAGUAGUUCUCACACCCAGUUGUUGACCCUUUUUUGCAGAGCCUUCGUCCGUGGCUGCUGCUGUUGUUGUUUUGAAUCGUGGAAAGGGAGUUGUGAGCUAGAUUCCUUCCAGUCUUGCCGCAGUGCUAAGGAGUACCUCCUACAGAUAGUUUUGGAUUUUUUUUGUACAUAUAGUCUUAUUGUCUGGAUACUUGCUGGAGUGAGUGGUGUAGUAGACAUUUUGUAUGUACUGGAACCCUUGAGGUUAUAUAUUACUUUUCUAUUUAGCAGCUCUUUACCUUGUGGUUGUAGCUUCGAUUUGUUUACUAGUACAGCUAUCGCUUCGUAUACAGAAAAAAUUCCUAUUUAUACAGUGGGUCUGUUGCUGUGCCCAGAAAAAUAUGUAAUCCGGGGCGUGACAUUACAAAUUAUAAAUUUUAAAAAUUUAAAUUUUUAAAAUUUAACUAUUUAAUUAGAUAAAUAAUAAUAAAUUAUAAAUAGAUUAUUAUUUAAAUAUUUAUUAAUUUAAUAACUUAAAUAAGUAAUUAGUCAAUUAUUAAAAAAUUUAAUUAUAUUAAUUAAUUAUAAUUUAUAAUUAUUUAUAACUUAAUUAUUAGAGGAAUAAACUAGAGAAUAGUUUGUUACACCUAAUAGAUAGAAUUACUAUUCUCCUCUCUUAACGGGUUAUUCCGGAAUAGCCCGUUAACGCGGGAAUAAAUUAACAUGCUAAGUUUGCUUGGUGUUUGGCAAGAAUAGUAGGAUAAAAGGGGUUAUUCCCCUUUUAUCAUAUGUAACAUAUCGAAAUCCGGAAGAAAUUAUCGAACCUUAGCCAAAUUGGUUAAAGUUGUCGAAAGAAAAAGUUGGACAAGUUCCAAUUAGCAUUCCAACAAUAUUGGAAGGGCUAAAAUUGAGUUUAAGAGGUAUUAGAAAGGUUUUAGCAUUGAACGGCGCGAAACAGAAUCGAAAACGGUGCGAAAUUGUAUUCUGGAGCAAAGUGUACCGGUACAACUAGCGAGUUGUCAUCGGUACAGCAUUGCAGGCCGAGAAGGAAAAGCUCCCGGGUUUGAGAUAUUUUGCCUGUGUUACCGUUGACACCCCUGGUGUGUACCGGUACGCUUUGGUAAAACCUGUAAGAAUUGCUCUCGGGUUUCCCUCUGCGUAAUCGUGUUACCGGUGACACCUUAAAGUGUACUGGUACACUUUGGGUCUGACAGCAAAAUGAAAACGUACUGCUGCAAAUACAAGUGUUUGGAGAGCUUUUUGGCUAUUGUUACAACAUGUAAUAUACCCCCAACACCCCUCCUACCUGUUCUAAACAGCAACCACUCUCUCCCUCUCUCAUUUCCCUCUUUCUCUCUCUAGAAAACUCUCCAAUGAGUAAGGAGAGGAAGGAGAAGAAGGAUUUUUGAAAAAGUUUUGGUGGAUUUGAAGGCUUUAGAAGCUCUUCUACAAGGAGGACUUGGGGAUAGCUUGUGGCUAAGGUGAGUUUAUGCAUGAACUCCUUUAGGGUUAGGAUUCUUACCUUAAGUUUUGGAGUUUUGAUCCUCUAAUAACCCUAUAAACGUCGAACGAACCUUGAAAUCCAUGAAAAUCAUGAUUUUCUCAAGGUCCUUCCAUGGUGAACAUCUAGGGUUUAAAGUAGAUGCCCUAGGAUUGGUUCGAGUGGCUUGGAAAUGGUAUUAGAAAGCUUCAUGGGUGGUUCUAAGCUUAAUUUUGCUUAGUUAUAAGAUCAAUCCUAAGAAAUUUUGCAAAUGGCAACAUUAGGGCACCCAAUUUGGAGCUUUUGCCUCCGAAUGUUUUUAAGGCAAAUUGACCUUGUAAAAACCUAAUUAGGGGUAUUCCCGACGCAUGGGACAACUCCGUUUGACGUUACGAAAAGAUUUAGAUGGAGUUAUUGAGAAAAAGCCUAAUUUGGCUUCGUUUUGCCACAGGCGAGAAAGUAAGGCUUCAAAAAUUUCAGGAAAUUCAUUGUAGCAUCCCUACAACCAUCUAAGGUGGGUGGUGCAUUCCAAGGACCUCGAAAUUUCUUUUAUAUCUAAAGUGUCACAUUGAGCAUAUGUAUGUAUUUGAGCAUAUUGCAUAGUAGGGUAAUUGUAAGCUUCCUUUGCAUGUUGUGAGUUCAAAUGCAUGUGAAAUACUUGUAAGAAUGUGAGAAUUCUAUUUACCCUAUGUAUGCAUGAGAAAUGACAAGAACUUAGUAGCUUUAGAGAACAAAAGUGACAUGUUGACAUAAUUAUAGAGAAUGGCAUCAACGAAUCGAGAUAUGCUAGAGUUGACACUUAGAAAACAAGUGUGGCAUCAAUGAAUGAGUACAAGAACUAGUAGUGUAUAUGACACUAGUAAAGGUUAAAGAAUGCAAGUAAAUAGAGGUAGCGACAUUAUGACAUAACAACCUUAGAGUUAAGGGUCAAAUGUGCAUUGUUUCCUUAUAGUUAAGGAAUGGAUUUGACUUGACAUCCUUAUAGAUAAGGAUAGGAUCAUACUCACCUGUAAGUCCUUGCUCGAGGGUGGUAGCUUCCCCUCGGGCGAUGUGCUCCAGAGUUGUCAUUACCGGGUCGUAGCGAGUAUCUCCCCAGAGGACGGUCCCAUCGAGUUGUAGUGGGUAUCUCCCCGAUAUUAGGAAUUUGGUUGGUGAGUCAUUGAGGGCGAAACCUAAGGGUUAGCCAAGAAAUUGGGUAAUGAGAUUGUGACCUUGCAUUCAACAUGAGCAUACAAUUGAGCAUCGCAUUUAUUAUUGUUCAGGCAUAUUAGCUGCAUUUGUAUAGUUUGGUUACUAUCUAUAUCUCUUUUCUUCUAUUAUGCCUGAUUUAGACCUAGUGGGAAAGUCGGCGUGGUUGGUUGCCGAACCCACUGGAAACUUCGUUGUAGUUCUCACACCCCAUUUUCCACAGAGCCCGGACCGAGUGAGCCGACGGAUGAUCGCCGUAAGGGCAUCGCGCCCUAGAUAGAGACCACCCGAGACGGUUUCUCAUUUUGGUUUAGUUGCAUACCCUUUAGUUGCCAUNUUAGACCUAGUGGGAAAGUCGGCGUGGUUGGUUGCCGAACCCACUGGAAACUUCGUUGUAGUUCUCACACCCCAUUUUCCACAGAGCCCGGACCGAGUGAGCCGACGGAUGAUCGCCGUAAGGGCAUCGCGCCCUAGAUAGAGACCACCCGAGACGGUUUCUCAUUUUGGUUUAGUUGCAUACCCUUUAGUUGCCAUCUUUUGUAUUUUGAUGAUUUUAGGAUUAUGAACUUGUUAAAUGAAUGAUGUAAAAAGGGGAUUAUGUUUCAAUGCAAACUUUAUAUUUUGAGAUAUCAUGUGAUGUAAAAGAGAAGAAAUGAUGCAAAAAUAUAAGCGAUUUUCCUAAGUGUAGUUUACUACUUUUACUAUUGGCUAUUGUUUGCCCUCGUGCAAGCCAUUGUGUAUGCUUCCGCUUAUGCAAAUUUUAUACUCUAUCUAUACCUGUUGUUGAGCCUUGGGCAGAUGGGGGAGGCUCUGUCCGUUCGGCGUCUGUUUGACGCUGUCGAACCGGCCAAAAGGAUCGGGCUCGGGGCGUGACAUCCCACAACCAAACGGGGCCGAUCUCUUGAUCUCCUUCCUCUCUCUGAUCCUCCUCUGACUCUGAUCUUCCUCGUCCUCUACUGCUGGUAGUAAUUACAACAAAUAAUCGAUGAUGUAGAUGAAAUUGAUACGAGAAUUAAUUAUUAAUUAAUGUAUGAUGAUUUGGGAGGAGGGGCGGAUCGUCUCGAUCCACCCAUUAAUGCCGUUGGCGAGAGCAACGGCCGUCGGGCCAUCUGUGGCUCCUCUGCUAUGCUAUUCUUCCGCACUCUCUGCUCCGGACCAAAUAUUUUGCCUUCCCUGCACUCCCCCCCCCCCAAAAAGAGAAUAAAAUAAGUCCAAAAUAUUUGAAUUUGAAUCAUAGAACUUAUGAAAUAUUGGAUGUAGUCCAUAAGAUACACUAAUACGCCCGGUGUAGGCUACUACUUGAUCAUUUGACUGAGAGAGAUAAUUACUUGUUACUUAAAAAAUUUGUGUAGAGACUACCAUUUUUCUAUAUUUAAUACUUGUAUUUGAGAUCUUGAUGUAUCUACUCAUGGUUUUUGUUAGUUAAUUAGAUCUUUUAUAUUCUACUUGUAAUUAGAAUUUAGUUGUUGUAUGCUCUGAUAUCAUACUAGCAGUUUAUCUUUCUUGCUUAAUUAUAUUAUGGUUGUAGACGCCUUGUAUGUUAUUAGCAUAUGGCGGGUCUGAACACGCACCAAGCAGGCUUCCGCUGGGUCCCGGGGAGUGACAAUUACUACCAGUAGUAGAUGACGAGGAGGAUCAGAGUCAGAGGAGGAUUAGAGAGAGGAAGGAGAUCAGAAGAUCAGUAACAAGUAAUUAUUUCUCUCAGUCAGAUGAUCAAGUAGUAGCCUAUACCGGGAGUAUUAGUGUAUCUUAUGGACUAAAUCCAAUAUUUCAUAAGUUCUAUAAAUCAAAUUCAAAUAUUUUGAAUUUAUUUUAUUCUUUUUUUUGGGGGAGGUGGGGGAAGUGCAGGGAAGGCAAAAUAUUUGAUCUAGAGCGGAGAGUGCUGAAGAAUAGCAGAGCAAAGGAGCCAUAGAUGGCCCGACGGCUGUUGCUCUCGCCAACGGCUUUAAUGGGUAGAUCGAGACGAUCCGACCCUCCUCCCAAAUCAUCAUACAUUAAUUAAUAAUUAAUUCCUGUAUCAAUUUCAUCAGCAUCAUUGAUCAUUUGUUGUAAUUACUACCAGUAGUAGAGAACGAGGAGGAUCAGAGAGAGGAAGGAGAUCAGAAGAUAAUGUUAUAAAAUUUUUUAAGUAACUAGUAGUUAUUUCUUUCAGUCAGAUGAUCAAGUAGUAGACUACACCAGGCGUAUUAGUGUAUUUUAUGGACUACAUCCAAUAUUUCAUAAGUUCUAUAAUUCAAAUUCAAAUAUUUUGGAUUUUUUUUGGGGGGGGGGGGCGGUGGGUCAAAGUNGGAAGGAGAUCAGAAGAUAAUGUUAUAAAAUUUUUUAAGUAACUAGUAGUUAUUUCUUUCAGUCAGAUGAUCAAGUAGUAGACUACACCAGGCGUAUUAGUGUAUUUUAUGGACUACAUCCAAUAUUUCAUAAGUUCUAUAAUGAGAAGGCAAAAUAUUUGGUUCGAAGUAGAAAGUGUGGAAGAAUAGCAGAGCAGAGGAGCCACAGAUGGCCCGACGGCCGUUGCUCUCGCGGCCUUAAUGGGUGGAUCGAGACGAUCCGACCCUCCUAGCUCCCAAAUCAUCAUACAUCUAUUAUCUAUCUUCUAUCUUCUAUUAACUAUUACUAGUGAAGGACCCACGCAUUGCGGUGGGACGACUUCGUAGAAAUAAAUAAAUAAAUUUAAAAUAACAAAAUAAAAAGUCAAAGAAUUAUAUAAAAUAAAUAACUGAAAAAUAAGUAACUAAUUAAAGAUUGAGGAAUUCUCUAAAUUAGCACUUGAACCGAACUGAAUCAAUGAUCUGCCUAUAUAAUUUUGUUUUGUGUAUGAAAACCGAACCAAUUAAAUCUGAAAACCGAACCAAUUAAAUCUGAACCGAAGAGCUGUUGUCUCUAAAAAUCUGUACCGAACCAAUUAACUGACUCUCUCUAAACCGAACCGAACCGAACCAAACCAUUCACUAUCUAAACUUCUCAAACCGAACCAAUAAACUUCUCAAACCGAACCAAUACACGCUUGCUUCUUCUCCGCUCGAAACCAUAAGUCGCUUGCUUCUUUUCCGCUCGAAACCGUAAGUCGCUCCGCCUCCUCACGACCUUGAUUCUUUUCAUGUUCUUCUCAUGUCCGUUACAGUAAAUCACUUCCCCUCCGUGCGACCUUGCUUCUUCUCCUGUCCGUUACAUUAAAUCAUUUCUUCUCCUCUCAAUGCCGCAGCAUCCAUCCCCUAUUUUCGUUUCAGACGGGAUCGACGGGAUCGUGCUCAUAAAAUUUACCAUCGUUUUAGAUGGAUACUCUCCUCUACCCUGGCCGAUUUUUGCCUAUAAAAUCUGUCCAUGCCUCGCAUCGAAACCAGCGUCUUAUGCUAUUAUCCCGAAAUUUGAACGGUAAGAAAUUAGAAAUUUAGAUAUUCAGUUCAAAUCUUUCUUUUUCUUAUAUAAUAUGAUAAUAAUAAUAAUUUUAUUGUUUUAUCCUCAAGAAUCGACGCUCCUAUUUAUAAUAUCUGGACGUUUCCUUCUUGGUAGGCUUUUGUGUUCAUAUCAAAUCUUUCUUUCUAAUAUAAUAUAACUUUAAUUGAUAUUAUUGUCUUUUUAACUUUCGGUGAAAUUUUAAUUAAAAAAAAGGAUAAACUUCAAAUACCACCCUUGUGGUUUCGCACUUUCUUACUUUAGUACCCUGUGGUUUAAAGUGUAUCAAGUUAGUGUCAUGUGGUUUCAUUUUUAUCUUUUCGUCAGUUUUUCUGUUAAUAUUUCGUUAAAUUAUUAUAUACAAAAAACUUCAAUACCCCAUCUAGAUUUAUUGAAUAUUCACUUUAGUAUCCUUUAGUUUUAACUAUGUCACUGAUUUAACGAAAAAAUUAGUGAAAUCAAUAAUCAAAAGAUAAAAAUGAAACCACAUGGCAGUAAAUUGAUACACUUUAAACCACAGGGUACUAAAACAAAAAAGUGUGAAACCACAUACCUCAUGGUUUAAAUCAUAAUACAUUAAAAAUUUGAGGAUUAAAUUGUUAUUCGUUUUAUAGUUUUAAGGAUGAAAGUGUAAAUCCAAUCUUUCAAAAACUUUUUUUAUCCAUUUUUUUAUAUAUUUUAAAUUUUUAUAGUACAAAAUAAAAAAUUAGAUUAGACUUAGAAAAAUUAUAAAUUUUCUUCUAUGUACAUGAACAAAGGAAAAAAAAUUGAAGUUAGAGGGGAAAAAACAACCUCUCUCCUCUCUCCCCCGCUAGGUCCCCGCUGGGUCCCACCUUGUCCCAGAUUGGAUUUAAAAAAAAUAAAUGAGGGAACAAUUGAGAUGAGAGAAAAAAAAACUUCCUCUUCACACCCUCCCCUGGCUAGGCCAAAAAUUAUAUAAAAAAAUAACUAAAAAAUGAACAAUUAUUAUGUAACACACUGGACCUUUGCAAAUUACGAGGUUCGAGUGUUUGGCCUGUGUUUCGAGCAUUUCUAGAUUUUCUGGACGUUCGUUGACCUUGUUCCGACCUAUGGCUCGUACCCCGAGAAAUGAAGUUUCUAUAGUAGAGCUAAGGCCGCCAAAGAGGAGAACUUAGGCUGCUCUCGGGUUGCCUCUGCACACUGUUGUACCGGUACAAAUACGGUUCUGUACCGGAACACAUUGUGUACCGGUACAGAUAUGGCUCUGUACCGGUACAAAUAUGGAAAAUAGCAAACCCGAGGCUCGGGUUGGGCUGUAUGGCAGGGGUUGUAUCGGUACACUUUCCCGUGUAUCGGUACACUUUGCCCAGAAUGUUGAUUUCGUAGAUGAGGCUUUUUGCAAUUGUUGCAACUCUAUUUAUACCCACCCCAGCCCCUUUGAGAGCUCCUUUGAGCCCUAGAACGUGGAAAGGAGAGGUAAGAACUCCUCUCUUGAUUUUUUUUCCCUUUUUUCUUGCAUUUUAGCCCUUCUUGAUCUUCUCUCUUUGCUUCCCUUUGUUCCUUGUGGGGAUUUCCACCUUGGAGAAGCAUUGGAUUGAAGAUUGGAGCUUGUGGGAAGGAAGAUCUUCAACCCUAGCCUACUUGGAGGGUUGAUUUGGAGCUCUUGUGAGGUUAGUAAGCUUAAAUCCCCCUUUUGAUCUAUGUUUAUUGGUUUUUGUUGUUGGAAACCCUAGAAUUGAGAAUUAGGGUUAGAAUUGGGGAUUUUGGUUUAGAUGCUUUUAGAACCAUAUUGAAUGGUUUAGAACCUUUGUAUAGGUUUGAUUAGAAGGCCUCUACCUCCCAUUUGGAGAUCGAGAGGGCUUUCUUCGCAUUCGGUGAGUUUUCUCACCCUUUUCUUGAGUUGCUUAAUGUUUGAGCAAUAGGUUGUUCGUUUCGAUUUUAUAACUCUCCUUUUUAUACCUUUAGGGUGCUAGGAGACUAGUGGGCACCUUCGUCAGUUUAAACGAAGGGUUGCGAGAGGUCACGGUGGGUUUGGCUUCUUUGAAAGAGGAGAAAAUCUCUCCUAAGUGGUUAAAUAUUUUCGUAUCAUCGAAGUGCAUUCAUAUUCAUGCUAGAUAGUAUUUUUAUGAAUUUUAGAAUACUUAAAAUGCAUGUGUUAUGUAUCAUGAAUUUUCAUCUCUAUGUAGUAGAGCCUAUGUGUAGUAAACAUGCAUGUGAGAAGUAUUCUCUUUUGUGGAUCGGAACCAUGUCUCAUGUGAUGAAUAUGACUAGAAUUAUGCAUUCUUGAACAGUAAACUCAUAUUUGUACUUAGUGAAUAAAAGUGUCAUAAAGGGGCACUCGGACUGGUAAACAGUUAAACUGCAACCUAGUGACAUAGUGAUAGGCCAUUGAGAUAUCGACUAUAUUCCAUGUUUUACACGUGAUGACAUAGUGAUAGGCCAUAGUGACACUUACUAUAUUCUAUGUUUUAGACAUGAUGACUUGAGACUUGAGACAGACUGUUACGCUUGCUUGCCAUUGUGCUCAUUCGCAUAUGCUUGUGAGGGUCGCUCUCUACAAGCCAGCACUUCGGAGAUAGCCAUCGCGAUAUAUACUCGCCGUGCGGGAUUGGGCGCCGAAAUGGGAAGCCGUGGGUGAGGCUCAUUCCUAGAGUGGGGAUGUUGACUAUAAUGGGGCCAUUAGGCACGGCGCAGGCCGGACUGCCCACGGGUAGGUCCUACAUGAUUGGUACCUUGGUGCCUUAGUAUACUGAGAGGACAUUCACUAGAAUAGUAAACAAUGCCAACUUACUAUUUACCUGUGGACAUAGUAGCAGUUUUACUUAUGCAUAUACAUGUUACAGUAGCUUUCUUACUUAGGCAAAUUCAUGCUAAGUAGAGAUAUCAUGUUGUAGUAAGUUUUAUGUUUAUUUGCUUACCCUUCAUAUUGGUCAUAUUUGUACUUACCCCUUCUUAGCUUUUGGGCCUAGUGGUGCAUUUCACCGAAGUCAGUAAUUGCCUACUGGGAACUAUUAUUUAAUAGUUCUCACGCCUCCUGUUUUAUGUUUUCUUUCAGAGCCCUCUACACCGGUGGAGGCACAGGACCGCGGUAAGGGGAUCGCUUGCUAGAUAGCGAGGAGUUCUUUUGCUUUAGGUGGUUUGUUCUCUCCUUUUGUGUUGUUUGAGAGAAAGUGAUAGUUGUAUCCAUAUAUAGAGACCACCUAUGUUAUACUUUUAGCACUUAUUUUUUUUGGGAUAUCCUUUGUACUACUUUAUGGUUCUAUUUAGUAGAUUUUAGCUUUCUUUUAUGCUUCUAUAUCUUAGACUCUAGAUGUUGUAUACUCUGAUACUUCUAGAUGUUCUUCCAUUCUUGCUUUAUUUAUCGUUUUGUAUUAGACGCCUUAUAUGUUGUAUACGUAUGACGGGUCUGGACACGUACCGGGCGGGAUUCUGCUGGAUCCCGGGGCGUGACAUAUUACUGUAAUAAAAAUAUAAAAAUAAAUUAUAAGAAAGAUUAAAAAAAAGGUCAAAAAUCAUAUUAAUAAGAAAUUAUAUAUAAUUAUAUUUAUAAUUAUAUAUAUUAUAAUUAUUAUUAUAAUUAUAUAUAAUUUUUAAAAAAAAUGAUUUAUUAUUCUUAGAUUUUUGCCUCUAUUCUUCUUUUAUCUAUCUUAUCAUUUUAUUCUUAUUUUUUUUUUACUUUUUUUAUAUUUUAUUUGUAAAUUUCCUUCCUUACUUUUUAUAUAUUUUUAAUAAUUCUUUUAUUCAGCUUAAUUAAAAUUUAUAUUUAAUACAAAUAAUUUAACUUAUUUAAAAAUUAUUUAUAUAUUUUUAAUUUUUAUAAAAAUUUAAAAAAUUAUAAUUUUUUUUAAUCAUAUAUUAAGAGAAUAAAUAUGUAAAAAAAUUAAGGCCAAUUUGCAUAAAAAAUUCACUUAUUUUGGGUUUUUGCAAAACCGGGCCACCUUUUUCGUUUUUGCAAAUUCGGUCCGCUUUUUCAGCAAACUGACCAAAAUACCCUUAUUACUUUUUCUCUUUCCUCUUUCUCUCUCCUCUUCGUUCUCUCGUUCUUUUUUUUUUUUUUAGCCGACAAAAAAAAAGCGACGGACGAGCAACGCCCAAAGCGGGCUCUUCUUCUUCUUCCUUCCUGCAGGAACGAAUUUUUUUUCUCUUUUUCUUUCUUCUUCUUCUCGCUCUGCUGGAGCUUUUUUUUUUUUUUUUUUUUUUUUUUUUUUUUUUUUUUUUUUUUUCCCUCCUUCUUCCUCUUCUUCGUUCGUCUUUUUUCUUAACCUGUAAGAGCACGGGGCGGCACAAGCGACUUCCGGCUCGGCCACGGAGCCCGACGCUCGAGCCGACGCCCCGUAGCCCGCGGGAAGCUCUAUUUCCUCGUCGAACUCUCCCCACGCGACCUCGAGCACGACACGACACGCCGCGAGGUCGCGCACCGGCGCCGGCGCCGGCGCCGCGCGUGUCCUACUAGGUUGCCCGAGGAAGGCCGCGCAAGUCGGACUACGAGCCGACCGCUCGCACCGACGCCCUGCAGCCGGGGAGCCUACUUCCUCCCCGCGCCGACCCUUGAGCCCCACCACUCCAGCGCGAUUUCACUAUUACAGCAUUAAAUGUGAACUAGCACCAUUAAUGUGUAAUUACACCAUUAAUGGUGUAACCAUUACACGGCAUAAUGGUGUAGUUUCACCAUUAAUGGGUAAUGGUGAAAUGCCGCGGCGGCGAUGGCGCCCGCCGGAUGCCGAGCUUCGCCGCGGAGCUCGGGGCGCGCCGCGCCCGCGCACGGGGCUGGUGCACGGCGGGGCGGCCUGCGGCGUCGGGUCGAGCGAGGCGGCGGGGGAGGUCGGGUCGCCGAGCUCGAGGUCGGCCGGUGACGCCAACAGCCUCCCUCUCCUCGCCGUCCGCCAAUAGCGGAGGAGCGCACGUCGCGAUCCGGCAGUCGCGGCGGGCGCUCGGCUUCCCGGUUGCUGAGUCUCUUCGUAUGGUGUUAAUGGUGGGCACCUUACACCAUUAAUGGUGAAUCACACAUUAAUGUGUAACCAUUACACAUUAAUGGUGUAAUUUUCACCAUUAAUGGUGUAGAUGUGAAUCUGGGCGCGGCGGUGGUCGGGCUCGGGGGGCGCGGGGGAGGAAGUAGAGCUGCCCGGUUGAGCAGGGCUGUCGGGGUCGAGCGUCGGGCUCGUAGUCUCACGCGCUGGCCUCCUCGGAACUAGUAGGAACGCGGCGGCUUGCCGGGCCGACGCGCGCCGGUGCCGGUUGCCGCCCGUCGUGGCGGCGGUCGGCCGGUCGGCGCGGGGGAGGUCGACAGGAGGAAGUAGACUUUCCCCAGGCUUGAGGCGGGUGCGUCGGGGGUCGACGCGGUCGGGCUCCGUGGCGAGGCGAAAGUCGCCGUGCGCGCCCACUGCAUCUUAUAGCGAAGAAAAAGAAGAAGAAGAAGAAGAAGAAGAAGAGGGAACAAAAAAAAUAAAAGCUCGCAGCAGGAGGAAGAAGAAGAAGAAAAGAAAAAGAGAAAAAAAAUUGCUCCUGAAGACAGAAGAAGAAGAGCCCGCCUGGUGGUGCUCCGAGCGGUCGCUUUUUUUUCGGCGAAAAAAAAAAAAGACGAGAGAACGAAGAGGAAGACAGAUAGAUAAGAGGAAAGAGAAAAAGUAAUAAGGGUAUUUGGUCAUUUGCUAAAAGCGGACCGAAUUUGCAAAAAGAAAAAGGUGGCCGGUUUUUGCAAAAACCAAAAUAACUGAAUUUUUUAUGACAAAUUGGCCAAAAAUUAAAGAAAAAACAUUAAAGGGAGAAAAAGAGACAAAAAAAAAAAAAAAAAUCCCUCCGCCUCUCCUCGUACUCUCCCUCGGCUGGGCCCCACCCUUCUGCUCUCACUCUCUCUCUGCCUCUCCCGUCGCCUCUCCUCGCCCGCAUCCUCUCCCCGCCGCCACGCGGGCGCCCCGCCGCGCGCGCAACCGCCUUUUCGCCUCCUCCUCUCCCGCGCGCGCCGCUCGUCGCGUGCACACGCGCCCGGCCCGCGCGCGCCCGCUCUGCCGCUCCCCCUCGCGCCGCGCCCCGCGCUCGCGCUCGCCCCCGCCCGCGCCACGAGGCGCCCCCUCCCCGCUGCGCGCUUCCUCUCCUCUCACCGUUUCGUACGAUACGCCGUUCCCUCUACCCUUUCCACCCCAUCGUCUGUCUCUCUUCCUUCUCCGCCACAUACGAUGGAUCCGAUGAGAUGGAUCCAAAUCUCAUCAAAUCUGCCCUCUCCUCUCACCGUUUUGUACGGUCCGUCGUUUCCUCUCCCUUUUCCACGGCAUCGUCCCUCUCCCUUCUUUACCGCAUAUGAUGGAUCCGAUGAGAUGGAUCCGAAUCUCAUCAAAUCCGCCGCUCUGCCUACGAUUCAUCUUGCCUACUAUUAAUUUUUUUUCCUUAUAGAAUAUGCUAUUGUCUUUCUUUUCAGGAAUCCGAAAGCUUUUAGAUGAGACGUGCAGUGGCAAAAUGGUCAACGAAUGGGUUUUUUAGGUAUCUCUUCAUCUCAUACUUAAUUUGUGGAUUUGCAUAUUAUACAUUUGAUGUAGUGAUGAAUCUUGUUGGUUGUUUGGCUAUAUAAUUUUCUGAAAUGUUUAGAUGGUUAUUUUCGAAAACUUUUUAAUUCAUAAAAAUUUUGUAGCUUUUUAAUUGAUAAAAAUUUUGUUAGCUGAACAAAUUAUCAUUCUUUUAAGUCAUAUUUCAUUCUUUUCAAUGUUUGGUUAAUCAAAGUUAUGAUUAUGACGAUUGAAGGUGCUCAACCGUAUUAUUGUGGAAGGACGAAAGUAUGGGAUUGAAUUGAUUCUUAGCUUAGUCAAUAAUCUAAAACAUUACAGUGGGAAGAUGCAAUAUAUUAAAUAUGCGUGAGACAAAAGCAUAGGAUUGAGCUCCUCAAAUGAUUCUUUCUUCUUUGAUCUAUCGAUUUGGAGAUAUUCAAGAUUUAUUAGAGGGUAAUAUCAGCCCGCUGAUAAAUAUGUACUAAAAACAGUUUAUUGCUAAGUUGCAAUCGAAUUUAUUUGGGAUUCUCUGAGAAAUGAACUUUAAAUAUAAAAAUAUAAUGAUAUUUGAUCCAAUAUCAGAUACUUCUUAGACGAUGCUAACAAAGAAAAACCACUUGGCUAGAACUGAUAGAGAUAAUCCCAUCAUCUUUACAUGGGAAUCAAUGAAUGAACCUCAUUGUAUAUCAGAUGCAUUUGGUGACACCUUUCAAGUAAGUGCUCUCAAUUUGUUUUUCUUUUUUUAGAAAAAUAAGUGUCCUUAAUUUCAUAUCUCAUUGAUGUGUCAUAAAAUAUCAUGUCACCUUGUAAUAGAAGCGCAAUAGAUAAUAAUAGUACAUUGUGAGUUUCAAUUGAUAUUUUUUGCUCUAAAGAAUUGUAGGAUUGGAUUGAAGAAAUGGCAGAAUAUGUGAAGUUGUGGGAAUAUAUUGACAAGGGUAUUUAUGCAAAGAAAGGAAAAUAGAAAAAAAAAAAAAAAAACUGUCCAAACUGGUUUAUUUCAGUAGUGCCUACGUAGUAUUUGAUAGAAUAACUAGAAAAGCUAGGAGGAGGAGGCUAUAUUACACUCCUGGUCCUCAAACUAUAAGUUGCACAACACUUUGGUCUUCAAACUUAAGUACAUGAUGAUGGUAGUAUUGAGACCGUUUUACAUCUACUUGUAAAUUCAUGAAGAAGAUGGAUAAUGUAAAAUUACCAAUAAUGUAAAAUUAUCAAUUUGUAGAUACUAAUGUUCAUUGCAUAUUAAAAUAAUGAGAGAAUGCUGUGAACCAUGAAAAUUGUGUAAGAUUGUAGACUUAUCGCGUAUCUCUAAAAUAACAACUGUACACUGAAGGAAAAUAUCGUGGAUUUAAAAAUAUUCACACUAUAUGAAGUCUAAAGUUUAAUCAGAGUGGAAUUAAAUGUUUUAUACCCAGUUUUUCAGUUUUUAGGCAGAGAGAUUUUCUGAAUUCUAUGAAGUAUGCAAAGGUAUUCAUAUCGGACGACAAGAAAUAUUGUUGAAAAUUGAAUACGUUCGACUUUGAAGCUAUGACUUUAUUUCUAUUUAUGCUAUCAUCAUCAUCAUCAUUAGUGGUAGUAGUUAUUAUUGUCGUUAUUGACUUGGUGCUGGUUAUUGUGCUCCUCCUCUAAAGAUGACAUCAUAAAUUUUUAAUUUAUUUUAAAAAAAUGCAGCCCCCAAAAUCAUUUCUUAUGGCUAUAAUUUGAAAUUAGAUCUUUGAUAGUUCGUAAAAAUUAGGUUUGAAAAUUAGAUCUUUUAUUGACAUGAAGAAGUAAAUGAAUAGAAUUCCUCAAUUGGGCAUUUUUCCGAAAUGCUUAGGUGGUUAUUUUCGAAAGCUUUUUAAUUCAUAAAAUUUUUGUAGCUUUCUAAUUCAUAAAAAUUUUGUUACCUAAACAAAUUAUCAUGCUAUUAAAUCAUAUUUCCUUCUUUUUAAUGUUUGGUUAAUCAAAGUAAUAAUUAUGAUGAUUGAAGGUGCUCGAUUGUGUUAUUGUGUAUAUAUAUAUAUUACAUGACAUAUCAGUUCAUUUUUAUUCCUAGAAUCAUCUACCUUUUUUGUAAGAUGCAUGCCAUUGUUGCAGCCUCUAUGGACCUCUAAUUAUCAUGCGAAAAUGAUGAACUCAAUUUAUAAUCUUAUACAAGAAAGCAAAAUAUUGAAUUUUUGGCCACUAUCAUUUAUUCCGCUUUAUUAUUUUCACACUGUUGUGAUUUAUUUAGAGUUCUGAAGUAACAGCAUGUAAUUCUCAAUUUUCUUUAAUUGCACUUCAAUUUGUAAAGCACCGUCAAAGCAUGAAGAUGAUGACUUUCAGGAGUAAAUUGUGGUUUUUGGGUAAAGUGUUCCUUCAAUACGGGAUUAUUAGAAGUGUUUUAGAGUUUCAAGAAUGCCGCUCUUUUUUUUUGGGGACAAUUUUUGUUGUCAUAAAUGUCAGAUAGUGAUUUUAUUUCUUUUUGGUGCAUCCAAAUUAGCGAUUGAUGAAAUUUUGUGCAAUUUUUUCCGUUGAAAAGAAUUUGCAUGAGACCAAACUCAUUUACUAAGGUUGAUUAGACAAACUAAUUCACAUUUCUGAUAUUUUUUUCUCAAGAUUAUGGUUGGUUCAUCAAAAGAUUACUUUGAACCAUCAAGUCCCCUACUUUGUUCUUUUCAACAGCUCCCAUUAGCAAAGCCGAAGCCAAUGAUGGUAAGAGUAGUUUGACAUUAAUCUUUCUAAGUCGUUUGAUAAAUUUGAAUACUUCCACACUUUAUUCCUAAUGUCGAUUGAUAAGAAUAUAGCUUAUUUUGUAUGAUAUAGUGUCGCCAUUUUUUGCAAAAUUUUCAACAGAUAUCACAAUUUGACUGCACAUAUUUUGAGCAAAAACACAUUACAUCCCUAUUCCCUCCGAAAGUUGAUCAUGUUUUAGGAGGCCUUAAACCAUUCUUUCUUUCUUUUUUUUUUACUUUAAUUUUCUUUUAAUUGACACCUCUGUAGCUUCCAAUUAUCUUAUUUAUUUAUUUUUAUUGUUAAUUAAUUUAAAAUAUUUUGUUAAAUUUUAUGGUCAAUUAGUUAUAAACCCCAAUAGCCUGCCGCAUCUUUGCCUUCCUCUGCUCUCUACCAACCUUUGUAAGUUCUACUCCAUCUCUGUCUAUUGUUGUGCACUUCGUUUAUUUGUAUAUAUCUAAAAAGUAGUCCUAUACUUUGGUUGAUUAUGGAAAUUAAUCUGUUAUGUAGUUUCUUUUUUUAUCGCGUAUAGUUAUAAUAAAUACUAUUCAAAAUUUUAAUUUGGAAUUCUUUAUUGACACAACAUUAAUUUUUCAGACUGAUACAUAUAAUAGUGAUCUACAGUGCAAUGCUCCAAUGUAAAGCCUUUUAUAUUCGUUAUCAAUUCUCAUGUGGCUUUCAUCUUUUAAGAGAUAGCUCUGUAUGUUAAUUUUUGUCAUCCAAUUCCUAUGCUUUAGAAUGCUCCCACCAUUUAUUUGUAUACAUUCAUGUUUUCCCAUGCAAAUUCUAUGCAUAAGAAGGUCGAGUUAAGUUCUUUGAUCUUGCUUAGAGUUUGAUACAUAUAUGUAUAUGCAUACUAUGAAACCUUUGGAAGAAGAGUAUGCAAAAGCUAUCAAAUUAACGCGCAAAAUGUCAAAGUACCAAAAAAGUACAAAGAUGCAAAAAAUAAUCCACAAAGACACAUAGGAAGAAGCCAAAAUGGACUGCAGUUUGAGUAGUUUCUUCCCUUUCUUUGAGUUGGCAUGCUGUCGGUUUUCAAAUUCUUACUUUGAUUGCCGUUAAAAAUUCUUUGUUUCUAUCUAUUCCGUUAGGUUUUCUUCCUACUUUUUGAAGUUUGAAUUAUGUUGGUGUGCACUUUUUUCAAGUCUCUUUGGUUUGUAAUGGGCCUCAUUAUUUCUCCAACUAAUUAGUUUUUUUUUUAACCUUUGAACUUCAUUUCUCAAUUAUUUACACUGAAGUGCUCAAGCUAUUAAUUUGACACAAGUGCAAUUAUAACUAUGUAGGUUCCAACCGUGUCUAGAUGUUCAUCGAGUUGGUAGUUCAUCCACUAUGUAACCUUGCGCUACAUUCAUCAUAUGCUGUUUUUGAAGUCUAAAUUAUAUUUGUUCACUUAGGCAAGAAGUUUUCUGGAAGGCAUCAAAAAUUUAUUCAAGAAUAUGUGAUUUUCAAAGAGGCCUUCAAUGUUUGAGAGCUCCCUGAGGAAGGAUUAGCAACAUUUUGGGUUGCUGAUUUUCAAUUCUUUUUUAAAGUGUAUAAAAUAGUGAGCUUUUCAUUUCUUUAUGAUGUUAUUGAAGCGUUCUAAUUGAGACAAAAAAAUUACUUAAAAUUUGAUGCCUUUUGAUAGAGGGUCCUCUUCUCAUACUAAUAAUUGGUUUAUCAAUACAAAAUACUAAUGAAAAUUUUCUGUUAGCAAAUUUAAAUCCAAUUUUGACAAUGUGCUACACUGAGGAAAGGUCUGAAUGAGUUCACGUAGAAAAUAUUUGCUUAGAUGCAGUUUCAAGUAAGAAUAUUUGUUGAAUAUUACAAAAUGAUUUUAGAGACGGUUUAAGAUCACCUUUCUUUACUUUUUAUUUGGGUAACAUAGUUCCUUUUUCCUUUUUAUUAUAUAGGUUUGUUUAUGAUCAUAAGAUGCUUUAAAUAUAUAGUUUUAUAUGUAAUUGCUGGUAAUGCUUAAAACCUUUUAGAUGUCAUUUAGACUUGGCAUCUUCCCAGUUGAUUAGACCAUGUAAUUCAAUAACUUAUAUUGAGUUUCUUGAUAGUCAUAUAUUUUGCUUAAUUAGACAAUGUAAUAUAGUGAAUACAAUUUUGAGUGCACUAUGCAAGGAAACAGGAAAAAAAUGAGAAGUUUAUAGUAUUUUAAUUACAAGUAAUUUUGUUAAGAAUCUAGCUGCUCUGCUAGGUAUAUUCUUGGGAAAGAGGAGAGCAUGGAAGGCUCAGAUUUGGUGAUGAUAAUAGUAAAAUGGUUCCUCAAAAAGUUCAGCUCUUAGUUGGAGAAACCAAAUAGAGGAUUACAAAAGUGAAAUGAUUCUUUAUAUAGGAAAAUAGAGAGAUUGUAUGAAAGUCUCUUAAAUUUUUCUUUGUUGAGUUAUCUAAGAAAAGUUGGACUAACUAAUUUAAACAUCUACAGGACACUCAUUCCAGCGUAUGCAGAAUAUUUUCUUUAGAUAUUAUGUUUAUCUAGCAAGCUGUUGAACAAGCUCAACUUAUGUCGGUUUGGUUAUCAACAUUGAACUAUGUGUGCCAAGCUCUUUGACUAGGAUUUUCAUGUCUGUUAGCUUUUUUUGAGGUUGAUGAGAGUAAUAGUUGAAAUUCUUCCAUUUUUUCGUUGGUAAUUUGCACUUUUGUGAAAUUUUCUUCAAAUUUGAUGAAUUUUUUAUAUAAAUUAAAUUUUUUUUUUGCCUAAAUCUAAAGAAAACCUUAACAAAUUUAUGUAGCUUAUACUAUCAUUUUCAUCAACUGCUAUAUAAUUUCAUUUUUUCUAUAGAAUCAAUCCGCUGCAACGCGCGGGUACCUUCACUAGUUAAUAAUUAAUUCCCGUAUCAAUUUCAUCAGCAUCGAUCAUUUGUCGUAAUUACUACCCGUAGUAGAGGACGAGGAGGAGGAUCAGAGGAGGAGGAUCAGACUCAGAGGAUCAGAGAGGAUUGAGGAGGCGUAGGGGAUGGCGAGGUCGAGCGCGGACGACGUGGAGUUGCGGCGGGCGUGCGAGGCGGCGAUCGACGGGGGCGGGGGGAAGCAGAAGGUGGUUCUGUGCAUCCGCGUCGCCAAGAGCCGCGGCGUCUGGGGCAAGGCCGGCAAGCUCGGCCGCCAGCAGAUGGCCAAGCCCAGAGUCCUUGCCCUCACCAGUAUGCAUCUCUCUCUCUCUCUGUAACCUCUCUCUCUCUCUCUUGCUGCAUAUACAUUCCAAUCUCAUAGCUAAGCUAGGCUACACUGUCCUUUCAAUCUCUCUCUCUCUCUCUGUGGGUGAUCAUCAUAAUCUCUUGACAAAAUACAACGACGACAUCCUCAAGUGUUCGAUGUCAAAGAAUUCUAGUUGCUGCUGUAACUCAUUAAAAAACUACAAUUUGAGCGCUUAUGCAUCAAAGCUUUCUCGUCAUAAAUGCUGCUCUUUCCGGGCUCAAUUGAUUAGUUUAGUUGAACCAGUAGCUCGAAUACAAGUCAUUAAUGUGCAUUUUCAAAUGUUCUUUAUGCGGCAUCUAGUGUGACAGCAAGUAACUCAUGCAGCCAAAUCAAAAGGCCAGCGGACUAAAGCUUUCCUUCGAGUUCUGAAAUAUUCUACUGGAGGAAUUCUUGAGGUAACUAAAUGCUUAAAUGCCAUCUUCAUGACGUAUUACUAUGCACGUAGAUCAUUUUCACUUUGAUUUUGCUAUUCAUGUUACAUGCUUAAACCUCAUCAUGCAAGCGGUACACUUUUAAUAUCUUUUAACUCUUUUGCGUCUUUAUGAGACCUUCCAGGACUCUCCAUAUGGUGAUUACUGUUCGCCCUUACCCAAUUGUGCGGUACUGUGCAAUAAGAAAGCUCCUUAGAUGAAAUGAAAUGAAAGUGGUCUUUGUGGGUUUCGACAUGUUGAUGCUUUUAUAAUCUUUGUGAUUUACAUUUUGCCAAUUGCUAAUGUAGACAAUAACCAAAAGGUCUUAACGAGUUCCUGAAGGUGUUUCUUAUUCGCUUGUUUUGUAUUGUAGCCGGCGAAGAUUUACAAACUGAAGCAUCUUUCAAAAGUGGAGGUUAUUCAAAAUGAUCCCAGUGGUUGUACCUUUAUGCUGGUACGCUCUUUUAUCUUACUCUACUUGUUUGUUUCCAACUUGUCAAAAUGUUUCGUUUUGAUUUCGCAUAAGAAGAGAACAACAGAAUCUAUUAUAUUUUUCCUACAUGCUAUUCUGUUUUUGAUCCUUAAGCAGAUCAUUUUGUUUCUUUUAGGGAUUUGAUAACCUUCGAAUGCAAAGUGUUGCACCUCCUCAAUGGACGAUGCGCAACAAAGAUGACAGGUAAUAGUAGGGAAUGCUCGGAGGUCAUUACUGAAGAUUUCACAUGUGUUCUUACUAACAAUAUGGUUUUUGGUUUCACUUACCAUUGUCUACUUGUAGGAACCGGAUUCUUAUGUGCAUUUUAAACAUGUGCAAGGAGAUAUUAGGUGGUAUCCCUAAAGUUGUUGGUAUAGACAUUGUCGAGAUGGCUCUAUGGGCAAAGGUGCAUUUAAAAGGAAAUUCUUUUUCUGCAGUCACUCACAAUUUUUGGCUGUAUCCCUUACAAAUAUUUUGCAAAAGGGGCUACAAAGUUGGGGUUCGACCCAAAUUUAGAGUUAAUAUUGGACUAGGUAAGAAAUUAUAAUUGAUGUUCCAUGGAACAAGUACUACACUAAUAAAGGACUUACCUGAUAAGAAUACAUUGAGAAGACAGAGCUAUUACAGUUCAGAAGGUUGACAAGGCCAGAGUGAGUUGUUAUAUUGUGGGCAUCAAAGGAUAGUAUUUAUCGCACCUCAUCAAGAGUUUAGACCUAAGAUAUUGAUGGCUAAUUUCACCUAAGGGCAGAGUAUUGCUAGGGUAACCAAAUAUAGUGAACUUCAGUGUCCACAUUAAGAUCCAUAUUUUAGGGCCUUCAUUCCGCUUAAUUAUGACCAUACUACCUAGUUUCAUGCUAGUUUGAACUUUAUGUCCUUUUAUCUCUAUACUUCCUAUAUUUUCUAUAAUCACAUGCUACACAUCCUUUGCAAUCUACCCGUUAGAUAAUGUCCAAAAAGGAAAAGUGCAAGCUUCUAAUGAUGAGGUAAAACCCCAAGAUGAAAUAGAUUACCAUGUUGAGGGCUUUAUCCCACAUAGUCAUACAAACUAAACUAGUUUCAUUAGUUGAUUUUUGAGGUGAUGGAUUGAUUAUAUUGAUCCACUUAACAAACUAUAUAUAGCCAUAAUAGUAGAUUCUAAAGAGUAAGGAUUAAAUUGGUCCAAUGGUGUCUGACCCAAAUCUCAUGGCUUAAAUUAUAUAGCUAACACUCAUUAGUAUCUUAAUAGUGAAACUAACUUAAAUGUUUCUUAAUCUCGUUUAGGAAAAUACUCCCGCAAAAACUAGUCAAGUGGCAACUAAAGAUGGACCAGCAACAUCUGUUAUGACAGAGAAUGACUCACAAAUUACUGUCGAAAGAGAUCUUGUUUCACAAGCUGAAGAAGAGGACAUGGAGGCCCUUCUUGGCACGUAUGCUAGUUUCCUAACUUCAAGUUUUAUGUUUUGUUCUAUCUGUGAAAUUCUCAUUUAAACUGGUAUAAUAAUGUGCACACUUCAUUCUAUCGUUGAAUUGCUAGUGUUUGAGGUGAAUGGAUAUGUAUUCACAAUUUCACAUAAUAACUUAGCGAUUUAUUAAAAUUUUUAUGUUACUUUAUUGUAGCACGAAAUGGGUUGUGAUACCAUUUCCAUUCUGCAAUUUAACGAAGUUUUAGUUCUAUUGCUCUUCUGGUUUCUAUUUUGCUUGACAAUUUUCAACUGAAAAAUAUUGGUUGGCACCAAGCUGAGACAUUUUUUUAUGUUUGUUAUCCACAUACGUACUAUGUCACCAAGUAUUUCUGUAAUUUUCUUUCUCUUUGUAUUCCCUCACAUAGAAAUAUAUAAUCUUAAAGAUAGUUCAUUCUUGGAACUAUCAAGGCUAUUGAUAAUAUCAAUACAAGUCAUAUAAUAAAUGUUACAUAUAAAAUUUGCAUUGUCUCAGGGCUGCAUGUUGCUAUAUCUGAACUCGCAAUGCAUAAUAUCUACUAUAUAAAGCAUUAUUAAAUUCAAAAUAUUUAAACCUUUAUCUGCAUCAAAAGAUAGAUGAAACAAGGAUAAAGGUGAAGAUACCUUGCCCAUACUUUCAUAUUCAUCUACUUUUUCUUUUUGGUUUGUUCAUUAAUAUAUGUAAUUUUUAAUAACUUAAAUGCAGUACUAAUUUGUAUACUCUGUAGGUAUGUUAUGGGCAUUGGUGAAGCAGAGGCAUUUUCAAAAAGAUUGAAGCGGGAGCUUCUAGCUCUGGAAGCUGCAAAUGUCCAUGCCCUUUUGGAAAGCGAGCCUAUAGUAGAAGAGGUUCUUUUUACCUAGUCUUCGCUUCAUACAAGAUGUUAAACAUGAUGAUGAUCAAUAUAUGAUAAAUUAUAAUUUCAUAGAUUUUUUUAAGAAAUUAUUCAGAAUUUCUGGCAUAUAGAAAAUGCAAUUAAUGGCAGUAAAUAUCAAGAAGGAAUAAAGUGACCCAAAUAGCUAGUAACGGUGAAGUUCUAUUUUUAUGCACUGUUGCAGUUUCCUAUUUUGUUUCGAUUGUUUGCUUUUCUUCUUUUAUAGAAUACAAAUUAUUGAUCAACUAACAUCGUGAAGUAGCAAGUCUAACACCUAAAAACUGAAUCCCAGGAAAAUAGUGAGGUAGUGCAUUAUCACUUUAUACGCAAUCUAGGCUAAUCAAGAGGAAACAAUCUCCAGAAAGUACGUCUUAGUCUCCACAAGGGGCCAUGUGAGAGUAAAACUCCAUAACAUUUCACAACACAUGCCUGUCAUGAGAUUUUAUCUGCUAAUUUCUAAUAGUUACAAUUUUGUUCUGGUUUAUAACUUUGCUGCAACCCUUUGAGGUGCUUCAUUGGACCCUAACCUUAUUUCUAUAUUAUAAUUCAGCUUUUUUUAAAAAUAAAUAUUGAGCUGCUGAAAAAUCAAAUCAGCUCCAAAAGUGUCUAUGCCAGCUGAAUAGAUAAUAAUAUCAAUGUACUUGCCUUCUCUUUAAAAUUAUACAGUAAUUGCAUACUCGUAAUAAUUGCAAAUUCCAAACUAUGCAGGUACUUCAGGGUCUAGAAGCAGCUAGUAUAUGUGUGGAAGAUAUGGAUGAGUGGCUUGGUAUUUUCAAUGUGAAGCUUAGACAUAUGAGAGAAGACAUUGAAUCGGUAUGGUAUUCACAGCCUACUGAUACUACAUAGCAAAUUUCGCCAUUAAGAGCAUAUUUAAUCUUCAUCUGUCAAGGUGAUGUAAAGAUUUAAAAAGUAUUUUCACAGCACAAUCAUGCGAGAAGCCAACACAAUAUUUUAUAUUUUUUUCCUGCACAGUUUGCACACUUUAUCCUUUCUACUUUCCAUUAUUUCCAAACCAAGAAAUCUUUACAUAUUUAUGCGAUAUCUGAAAUUUAAAGCCUCAAUUGUCAUCACUCACAAUAUCUGAUACUUAGUUUGUCGCAGAUAGAAUCUCGUAACAAUAAGUUGGAGUUGCAAUCGGUAAGUAACAAAGUGCUUAUUGAGGAGCUCGAUAAGUUACUUGAGCGCUUACAAAUACCUUCAGAGGUGCGCUUGCCGCUCAUUUAAUGUCAUAUACCUUCCUCUUAUGAUGGUAUUUUGAUUGAAUUUUCUUAAUAAUUAUUUUCCAAUUGUUGAUACCAUUGAGUUGAUGAUAGUUCGAAGCAGCUCUAACUGGAGGUUCAUUUGAUGAGGCAAAUAUGAUUAAGAACAUUGAAGCCUGUGAGUGGUUAACUGGUGCGAUAAAGAAUAUUGAAGUGCCAAAUUUGGAGCCAUGCUAUGCAAAAUUACGAGCUGUAUGCCUUUUCCUUUUGCUUGGAUAAUAAUUUCUCUGUGCAUAAGUAGCAUCAAAUUUGACAAAUUUACUGGGUUGACAGAAGCUAUAAAAUCUAAUUUCUUGAUGACUGUAUAAUAAAUAAUACCAACCUUAGGAUACAGAGGAUCUGGAUAAAGCCUAUAAUCAUAUAUGAUCUAUAUAUUAUGUGGCAAAGAACUAAUAUAUAUUGGCAGUAAUUUCAUUGCACUUCGUUCUUGUCCUUUUGUUUACUGUUAACAUGAAAUCUAAUAUAACAGUAGAGUAAAGAUCAUUAGUUUCUGCAACUUCUGAGUUUCCUAGUGGAAUCUUAAUGAACCAUUCAUUUGUCGCACUGCAUUUACAUAUUACAUUUUACCUUAGGUCAUUCGUUGCUGUUGCUUUGCAUCUGGAGUUUGAAUGAACUUAUUAUUAAUAUCUUUACAGGUCAAGGAAAAACGUGCCGAAUUUGUGUUGCUGAAGUGUACAUUUGUUCGGCGGGCAUCAGAAUUUCUAAGAAAUUACUUUCCUAGUUUAAUUGAUUUUAUGAUAAAUGACAAGAGUUAUUUUUCUCAGGUAAUGACAUAGUUUCAUUAUCUGCUAAUCAUUGCAAACAAGUAGUUUCAGGAUUUUUACCUAAUUAUGCUUUUCAGCGAGGACAGCUGAAGAGGCCUGACCAUGCUGAUCUUAGAUACAAGUGCAGGAUAUAUGCACGACUUCUGCAGCACAUAAAGGUCCUUUUUUUUUUGAGAAAGUCAAGGAGUGAGCAUUAGCUUUAAGUCGUAGUGCUUUUUCAUGAUUCUGACUUGCAAAUCUUUCAGUCUCUGGACAAGAAUUGUCUGGGACCACUGAGGAAAGCGUACUGCCAUUCUCUUAACCUGCUACUCCGUCGAGAGGUCAGGAGUGAAAUUGUACUUUAAAAUUUGACCAGUAUAUAUAUUUUUCCUUUGAAUUUCUAAUUAUUUCUGCUUAAAUAAGAACAUGAUAAUAUAUGCUGUUGACCAAUAAUGACGAUUUCUACAAGAGUAGAUUAACUAUCUUGCAGAAUUGCACAAAUGUGCAUUCAUUGACAUCAAUAUUAUGAUUUAUUCAGACUGGGAAUUACUUCUUAGGUCAUUAAUUUAUUCUUAAAGAAAAUUGAGCGAAUCUGGGAUUCGGUUGUGCUUCUUAGCUUUGCAAUUUGCUGUCUAUAUUCAUUCAAGAAAACCAUCCUAAGGAACUUUCUUUUUUUGGUAAAAAAAAAAAAUAGGAUUGAAAAUAUUUUGUCCCCGAGGAUGAAGUGGCCAUUUUGAAUCAGCCCCCUCUACUAUAUUUCGAUUGUCACUUCUUCGGCAUUUUUUGUUUUGAUUCAAGGCAUUCUGUCAACUGAAAUUGGGAAUGCUGUUAAACAUAAUGGCACACUUUAAAGAUAGCGGGAUAGUUGGUUCUAUUUGUUUAAGAGGAUGGCUUUGAUUAUGUAAUAGCAGUAAUGAAAUAAAUUAUGAAUUUGUGCUAUAUCUAUUUACUUUAUUUGGGCUUUGUGUUUCACAGGCCCGUGAAUUUUCUAAUGAACUUCGUGCUAGUACAAAGGUAUCAAAGAGUUCUACUGUUUGGCUUGAGGGCCCUCCAGGUUCAAGUCAGACAACUAAUAGUGCUGAUAGUUCUUCAGCUUCUGAAGCAUACUCAAGGAUGCUCACAGUAUUUAUUCCUCUUCUCGUAGAUGAGGUAAUAUUAUUUUAUUCUUCCAUAUGUUUCAUCUAACACAGGCAUGCCUUGGAACAGAAAUAUUUUAACUGUUAUUUUCAUUGUAGAGCUCUUUCUUUGCACACUUCAUGUGUUUUGAAGUGUCUGCACUUGCUCCAUCUGAGUCCUUUGGCAGUAACAAAUUUGGAUCUGAUGGCACAGAAACAAAUCUAGCUGCUCACACUGGAAGUGAUGUCAAGCACAGUAAUAUUCUUGCCUAUGUUGUUAAGAUAAAUUUUAAUACUAUGCCUUUUCUUCUGCAUUAUGUGUACAAAUUUGAAGUAAUAUCAAAUUCUUGUGAUUCUCCCUGCAGAGAAUAAUUCAAAUGAAUUGGAAAUUCUAAAUGAAUGUCUUCGAGAGUUGCUUGACGGAAUCCAGGUUAGUUUUCUGUAGUUGUAAGAAAUUUUCUUAUGCAUUACAGCUGACUCUGAAUUUGAAUCAUGUCAUACCAUAAAUGCGUAAUGUGCUUGCUGGCGAAAUCUUUACUAAUUUUGUUGCUUUUAUUCUUCACAUUUCUAAGUCUGCAGUGUAUAUGCUAUUAAGCUUUUUCAUAUGAAAGCAUUAUGCCUAAAUGUAGGAGGCUGUUGAUCUUAUUAACAGUAAAGCUUUUUCAUAUGAAAGCUUUAUGCCUAAACUAUAAAUGCCGUUAUCCUUACAUAAUGCAAGUAUAAUAGUGAGCUGUUUUGCCAGACAUUUGAAAGAGGUACUGAUUAGUUAGAAACUCCAAUUCUGCAAUAUUACUAUAUUCAGCUAGACUAUGAGAUGAUUCUUUAUGUCAUUUUCCAACGUCAAGUUAUGUGCUAUAUAUAUAUUUUUCAUGACAAACUUUAGAACAGCAACAUUAGGCUCAUUGUGGGACUUCACUUAUUUACUUAUUAUUCUAACUUACUAUCUCAGGAAGACUUCUAUUCUGUGGUAGAUUGGGCAUGCAAAAUUGAUUCGCUUUGUUGCAUAUCGAUGCACGGUAUCACAGACCGCUAUCUUUCUACUCAAAAAGCUGAUGUAGCAGGAUUUGUUCGUGUGUUGCUUGAUGACCUAGAGACCAGAGUUUCCAUGCUCUUCAGCAGGGUUUGUUUAUAUGCAAUAUGAUUUUUUGGUUGUCCUAGACACUUUGGAAUUGCAUGCAACAGACAUCUGACUAACUUUUGUUUCCUUUUUUCCUUUUUCAUCUAGUUUGUUGAUGAUGCUUGUUAUCAGAUUGAGAAAUAUGAAAAGAAUGUGCGACAAAUGGGAGUUCUACCAUAUAUACCAAGGUUUGCAACACUUCUUCCUUGAAACCGUCGAUGCGUGUUUUCUUGUACGGUUGAUUUUUUUUCAACACCAGUUCUCUUCUGCUAUUAUAAUCUGUAAUAUAAACAGAUCAUAGUUUGAUAUUUGAAACCAAGUAUUUUAUUCAAUAUCAUCACAAAUUUGGGGCUGUUUGGUUGGAUGUAAUUUUAAAUAUCGUACAACUAAAGAUGCAUAUAGUUAAAAAUGCAGCAGUUACAACUAUAUGUAUUUUGUUUGGUUGGAUGUAAUAGAAAAUACUGCAACAUAAAUAGUUUGUUAGAUGCAUGCAGUUAGAAACUAUAUUUAUAAAUUUUGUCACUUUGUAUAUGGGUUGGGUAAGAUUACCAUCAAGGCAUCAAUACAGAAGAAAAAAAAUAUUUUUUUUGUUAUAUAACUUGUAAAUCAAUGCAGUUAAAAUAACAGAGACAAUAGAAUAGAGGCAUAAGAUAUUAAACAAAGUAGGAAUUUAGGUUGUAGAACAUUAAAUGGUAAAAUCAAACAUGGAGAAAAGAGGGAGUUCUAUUGCAUAAUUGAUUAUCAGAUCAGAUGUAAUGCAAUUUUGAUUUUAACAGCUAUUUUUGGUAUUUUGUUUUGUUCUCUAGAAAGUAAGAUAUGUUAAGUUUACAUAAGCUCUUCCCACUUUGAGAUAUUUUUCCUUAAUAUUCCGUCUAGUUUAUAAAAAUGUACUAAGGCCGUAUUGUUCCCUUGGUUAGCUUUAAUUUACAAUGCUCUAGCAUAAAUCUGCAAUCUAUUAUUCUUCGUAGAUUUGCUACGCUGGCAACACGUAUGGAACAGUAUAUACAAGGGCAAUCUAGGGAUUUGGUCGAUCAAGCAUAUACAAAAAUUGUGAGUUCCACUCUACCCAGUUGGACACACCACUUGAUACCAGUAAUACCUGGCCCUUUCCUUCUUUUUUUUUUGAAAAUAAACUUGCGACAAUUGUACGCUUUUUUUUUUUUUUUUUUUGUACUUUAACAUUAUUUCAGAAUACCAGGUCUGCAAGUUUAAAUAAUGGGCAUCUAACCUAGCAUCUCCUCCUUAUUGGUGGCUUAAGUUAUAUAUCUGAUGUUUUAUUGAACGUUCUCUCAAAUUUACUAAAUGAUAAUUUGUAAAAUUUGAAAUAGGUCAGCAUAAUGUUCGUUACCUUGGAGAGGGUUGCACAAGUGGAGCCAAAGUAUGCCGAUAUCGUGCUAUUGGAGAAUUAUGCAGCUUUUCAGCACAGGUUGUGAAAAACUGACCUUCACUGACAGAUUAUUCAUUAUUCAUGUAAUCUGAAGAAACAAGUCUGCUCUCCUGAUACAUAUGUUCUUUUUUCUUCAGUCUCUAUGAUUUAGCUAAUGUUGUGCCAACACUUGCUAAGUUCUACCAUCAAGCAAGUGAAUCCUAUGAACAAGCUUGCUUGCGCCAUAUUAAUAUGGUCAUCUACAUUGUAAGGACUUCUUUAUCUCUAUCCAUAUAUUUCUUCCCCUAAUCUGGUAGCUAUUCUUUCAUGAGAUGCACAUACUUCUUCCCCUAAUCAGGGAAUUAUUCUUUCAUGAGAUGCACUAUUUAUAUUGAGGAAAGGUGCUCUUUACUAAGUAACGAACAAGACAAAACAAAAACACUUCUAUAAACCAUAUAUAGGCUAGGAUCUUGUCCGGAGUACUGACGCUCCUACAGCAUAUCCCUCCCCAGCAAAUCAUUUUUUUCUGUCAUCUCAAACUUCUUUUUUUUGUCAACUUAAGGCAUAAGAAGAUAUAUAUAUGUGUGUGUGUGUGUGUGUGUGUGUGUGUGUGUGUCUCAUCUCCAGAUUUAUAAUUGAAUUUUGCUUUUGCAGCCAACUCAUAUUGUCUUACAUGUAUCCAGAAAGAAAAGAGUUUUUUCCUUAUAUGCAUCCAUAUCUUCUAGUUCCCAAGGAAUGGUUUGUUCCUAGUGAUCAUUUCAUAUGAAGCAAUGCGUUAGUCAAUGAUUUGGAUCAAUCGCAACGAAUCUCCAGCAUCUAGAAAGCUUAUGAGUAUCAGUUCUUGUGUCAGAAUUUUGGAGAUGCUUUUGUGUUAGUAUUUUUUAUUUAUGUAGUGGUUUGACUCAAACCUGCUAUCUUGAUAUGGCAAGCCCGCUGAGGACAUCAUACAUAAAUAUGUUUUUAUGUGCUAAUGUGUGGUGGUUGAAUGGGUAUAUCAGCAUAUGCAUGUGUGGAUGUGUAUAUGUGCACUCGCAUGCUCAUGCAUGUGUGCAUGUGUGCCAAGAUGUUUUCUUAUAACCAUGUUACUUAUUGCAGCACUUUGAGAAAUUAUUCCAGUUCGCAAGAAGAAUUGAGGAAUUGAUGUUCACAAUUGCUCCUGAGGAGGUAAGACAAUCUUGAAUAGGGCCUACAACUUGCUAAUGCAUCUUUUCUUGUAGUUUACAAUAUGGUGUUCAAUUUUAACAGCUCUUGCUUCAUUAUCUAAUGAUGUUACUUCCCCUAUGACCUGCUCCGUCCACUAGUCAUCUGUCUGUGCUAUCAUGCUUGACUAAAUGUUGGAGACAAAAGCUCAAACUGCAUCUAGUUGUACUUAAUUUUAUACCUAAUCUUUUCUAAUAUUAAAAUUUGCAGAUCCCAUUCCAAAUUGGAAUGUCAAAGAUGGAACUUCGAAAGACACUAAAAUCCAGCUUAUCAGGAGUAAGUUGCAAUAUUUAUUUUAGUCUCAUCUUUCUGUCUUAAGUGCACUUCUAAUUAUUUGGCUGUCAUUUUGAGAUGGUGAGAAUAUUAUCUUCAUUUUUUAUGUCUUUGCUGCACUUAUGGCCAUUUAUUAUUAUUAUUUUUUUUACAGCUUGACAAGACCGUAAGUGCAAUGUAUAGGAAACUACAGAAGAAUUUAACUGCAGAAGAGUUGUUGCCUUCAUUGUGGGAAAAAUGCAAGGUCUGUUUUAUCAUUUGCUCUGAUCAAAACAUGCCAAGAGAAUUAGAGAAUAUCUUAUUCGACUACAUGAACCAAAUAUAUAUAUAUACAUACUACUAAAGAGACGGCUGGUGGACUCAUUCGCUGGCCCUCUUCGAUAUCUAUCUGUCUUUCGAUUCAUCUAUGUUUAUGCCUUUUUUUACAGAUACGUCAAAUAUUCUUAAAGAAUUAGUUGAAAAAAGCAUAAAAAAAAAUCUGAUUUGAAUCAUUUCAUCCAUUGAUUUAAAACUAGGAAGCUAAAAAUCCAAUUCCUUUUGUCAAACACCUGGGGAGAAAACAUCUUCCAUAAAGUAAACUCAUUGUAAACACCCCUGGGAUACAAGAAAAGAGAGUAGAGGGAGGAAUGGCUUAACUGCCCCUUAAGCCAUUCUGACUACUACCUCUCUUAAUCCAUAGGGUAUAGAAUUCAAUAUAUAAUAAUAAAUUGAAUUCGAGACACACACACACACACACACAUAUAUUAAGAAAGAGAGAGUGGGAGUUCUUUUCUCUGUUUGAUUUUUUUUUUUUAAAAAAAGAGGGGCAAAACGGGUGCUUUUUUAAUUUAUUACUCCUUUCAACUCAAUUUAUUGUAUUAUAGGUAAUGUUUCCACAGAGACGCAGUUAUCAUUUUCUAUGGUGUGUUGGCAGCACUAGAAUAAUGUGUUGAUUUAAUAGUUUCAGCACAUUGAAUUAUUUUCUCAAUUUCGUUUUGUUUAUAUGAACCUGUUUUGUUCUUGCUGCCUUGUUGUGUGUCUGCACUUUGCCGCACUAUUUCUGCUCUUACCAUGUUUUAAAUAAAUAUCAUUGGUAAUUUCCCCAAAAAACAAAAUCAACUGAUUCAGAUAUUGAUAAGAUUGCUGCAAAUUACGAAUAAAUUUGGUGGUAAAAUAUUUGAAUUUGUUCCAAUUUGGGUCCCGCAGAAAGAGUUUUUGGACAAAUAUGGAAGUUUUCUUAAACUGGUAGCAAAAAUAUAUCCAAAUGAGACCGUCUCCUCGGUGGCCGAGAUGAGAGAACUCCUUAGUACAAUGUAGGAGAUUGCUCCAGGUUUUUCAUCAUCCUCAAGGUUGGAUAAGCUUAAUUUGUUUUUCAUUGAUUGGUGUAAGUUCCUUUCUGCUUUGCUUUCUAGUUGAUAUACUUGGUUUUGAACAGCCUUACAUCCAAUCGUCUCGUCUGAACUGAUGCAGGUAUAUUACUUUGGAAGAAGCUAAUGCAGUACCUGCAGGUAGCACUUGGAAUUCUUUAAUUCUUUUAAUUCUUUCUUUCUUUCUUUUCAGUUCUUGUUUUUUCCCUAAAUGAGGUUCUCAUUGAGGUGCAUGCAAUCCAGUCAAUUUGGUUGGCAGGAACUGUCUAUCCUUUGUAUUAUCUCAUUAGAUUUUUGAAGCAGAUGACUGAGACGAACAGAUUCUUUAGUUCAUAAAGUUAAAAAAAAUAUAUUCAGUGGCGACGGAUAUGAAACUACAAUUAGCUUUCGGCCUGUUUUGCCUUCAGUUUUUCUAGCGGUCUUGCUCAACAAUUUUAAAUAUCGGUUGCAAUCAAUAAAAAAUUAAUAUAACAAUUAAAAUAUUAGUAGAUAAUAUUAAAGUAAUAAAAAAAUAUUAACAUAAAAUGAAAAGAUACUAAAUAUUUUAAGAUUUAUCUCUUAGAGAAAAGAGAAUUAAAAGUUUAUUUUGUUAUGUUACUUAUUUUACGUAAGAAAAAAUAGGAAUCAAAAAAAAAUUCCCAAAAAGUUGAUUUAUCGAGGUACCAAAAUUCAAAAUAAAAAGCAUUUAAAAAUUAAGAACUUUGAAUAAAAAUAUCUUGAGAGUGACUCAAAAAAUUCGAGAGACUUUGAAUAAAAAUAUCUUGAGAGUGACUCAAAAAAUUCGAGAGAGAGUAUACUCUUAUUAGUACGAGUGAAGACCCGCGCUUCGCAGCGGAAAAUAUAAGAAAAAAAAUCAAAAUAAAUAAUUAAAUAUUUAAAUUUUAAAAUAUUUUAUUAUUCAAAAUUUAAAUUUAAAUUUAGAAUAUAAAAUGUUGAAGUUUAAAAUUUAAAUUUUAAUAUAUCAAAUUGAAAUUUCAAUAUUUAGAAUUUAAUAUUUGGAUUUUUAAAAUUCAAUGUAUAAUUAUAUAUAUAUAAUUCUCUCUCUCUCUUAUAUAUAAAUAUUUAUUAUAUUAUAUUUUUUUAUAAUUCUCUCUACCCCGCCCCCUCUCUUCUCUCUAUAAUUAUAAGUUAAUUUAUAUAUAUUCAAAUUUUAAUUGUUGCAUUUUAAAUUUAAAUUUUUUAUUUUUUUGUAUGUGAAAUCACAAUACUAAAAAAAAUUGGAAAGGGAAAAAAAAAAAAAAAGAAGAGAAAGAGAAUAUUAAUUCUAUCUCUCUCUCUAAAUAUAUAUAUAUAUAUAUAUAUAUAUAUAUAUAAAUUAAUAAUUGGGGGAUUUCGUCGAACACCUUGCGGGCAGCGACGGGAAGGCGGCAUCGCGCGUAGAGGGAGAUGAGGUGGUUGCAGAAGGGGGGAGACCCAGGGCGGGAACGCGCAGUCGCGCCGUUGGAUCCUCCGAUACAUGAGCGGGAUGUUGGCGUCGUCGAAGGGGAGCUGUCCCGCGAGGAGCACGAAGAGGAUGACCCCGCACGACCACGCUUCGGCGCGCGCCCCAUCGUACCCGUAGCAUUAGAAGUGAAACCCAGAAAUUUACCAUAUGCUUGAAAAAGCCUAGAAGUGUACGAUUCACUUCAUUUUACAAUUUGAUACUCAGAUAAAUAAUCCAGGGGACUAACACAAAUAAGGGGGAAUAAAAACUCAUUUUCAAGUUAACUUCUUUCGCUGCACACUAAUAAAUGCUACAAACACAGUCCAAAUCUCACAUAAUUUAUCUUGAAAAAGCAACUCCGUUUUCACAAAAUAAGCACUGAUUACUAUCUUGCAUCCAAAGCGCAUCUCAAAAGAAAUAUAUAUAUAUAUAUAUAUAAAAAAUGAAGCUGAGAGAGACGUAGAAAAAAUAAAUGUUCGUACAAUUAAAACAAACUAAUCCUAUGGGCCCUUCCAAUAAAUAAAUGAAAUUAAAGCUCCUAUGGCAUCUAACACACCCAAGAGAAAGUCUCAGAGCCAUUAAUAAACAGUACCGCGUAGGCUGGGGCCCCGCACGCCAUACGUAGGCGCCCGUCGCGGCCGCGCUGCUCCGCGAGGGCUGCGAGCCCGAAGUCGGAGAGCUUGAGCGCGCCGUCGCAGGCGAGGAUUAGUUUAAAAAAUUAUUAAUAAUUAUUAAUAAUUAUAAUUAUAUAUUAUUAAUAUAUAAUUAAUAUAUAAUUAUUAAUAAUUAUAUAUUAUAUAACUUCCGGCUACUAUACUAUCGAUAGUAUCAAACGCUUAGUGCUAUUUUUUUCACCGUAAGAUCUAUCCCUUUGACCACUUUCGUCCAUUAGAUCAUACUAUUCAGCCAACCACCUGCUCAAUCCUAGAGGAUCACUAUCAUCCUAACCGCACAUAUCUUCAUUCAAGAGCCGAAUAACUGAUAGCACCAAAAACUUNGAGGGCGGCGAGCCCGAAGUCGGAGAGCUUGAGCGCGCCGUCGCAGGCGAGGAUUAGUUUAAAAAAUUAUUAAUAAUUAUUAAUAAUUAUAAUUAUAUAUUAUUAAUAUAUAAUUAAUAUAUAAUUAUUAAUAAUUAUAUAUUAUAUAACAUUAUUGAUAAAUUUAAUUAAUUAAUUAAAUUUAUAGAGUUUAGAAAUUAAAAAUUUUAAACUUUAAAAUUUAAAAAUUGGAAAAAUAUGGUAUGCUAACAAUUAAAUUUCAAAUUUAAAUAUAAAAAUAUAAAAUUCAGAAAUUAAAAUUUUAAAAUCUCUCUCUCCUUCUCUCUCCCUUUCUCUCCCAGUCUCCCUCUCUGUCUUUCUCCACCUGGCUCUCUCUCUCUCUGCGGAUUUUUUUAUAAAACAACCCUCUAAAAUUUUAAAAUUUGUGAAAUAACCCACUCAAAAUUUUAUUUGUAAAACUAACCCUCUUUUCGCCACGUCGGCGCCACGUCAGAAUUUCUUUUAAAGGCGGUGAAUCGUUCACCGCGUUCUCCUAUUUCUUUUAAAGACGGUGAAUCAUUCACCGCGUUCUCCCAUUUCUUUUAAAGGCGGUAAAUCAUUCACCGUUUUCUCGCAUAACUUAUUUACCGUUAUGUUCUAUAUUCCAUAUAUAAUCCUAACAACCAUAUAAAAAUUCUAACAAAUUACAUAUAAUCUUAACUGCCUUUAUAUGAAGUUAUAUGGAUAAAUUAUUAAGAUUUAAAAGUUGUUAAGAUUAUAUGGGAUAUAGAAAGAAACAGUAAAUUAACAACCAUAUAAAAAUUCUAACAAAUUACAUAUANUCUACUCUCUCUCUCGUCUGUCUCUCUCUCUCCCUCUCUCUCUCGUCUGUCUCUCUCUCUCUCUCCCUCUCUCUCUCGUCUGUCUCUCUCUCUCUCUCCCUCUCUCUCUCGUCUGUCUCUCUCUCUCUCUCCCUCUCUCUCUCGUCUGUCUCUCUCUCUCUCUCCCUCUCUCUCUCGUCUGUCUCUCUCUCUCUCUCCCUCUCUCUCUCCUCUGUCUCUCUCUCCCUCUCUCUCUCGUCUGUGUCUCUCUCUCCCUCUCUCUCUAUCUCUCUCGUCUAUCUCUCUCUCUCUCUCUCCAUCUCUCUCUCCCCCCUGUGCCCCCGGAGUUCCCGGGCGCGCAUCUCUCUCUCCCCCCUGUGCCGCCCGGGCCCCAUGGGCUGGGCGCGGGGGGCGCGCGCCCCCGCGCGCCCUCUCUCUCUCUCUCUUUCUCUCUCUCUCUCUCCCCCCUGUGUCCCCCCUGGUUCCUCGGGCGCGCGCGCCCUCUCUCUCAGAGAGAGAGAGGGCGGUGGAGAAAUGGAGAGGGAGUGGGGGAAGAGAGAGGGAGAGGGUGGUGCUGGGGGGGAGAGAGGAGACGAGAGAGGGAGAGAGAGGGGGGGAGAGAAGGGGAGAAAAGGAGGGGGGGGGGCGAGAGAGAGAGAGAAACGGGGAGAGGGGUCACGCCCGCUCGCCGUCGCCCCCUCCUUCGCGCCCGCCCGCCGUCGCCCUCCGUCCCCGCGCCCUCGCCCGCCCGACGUCGCCCUCCGCCUCCUCGCCCGCUCCCGCGCCCCGAGGCGCACGACGCGCUCCAUGGCCGCUACGCCCCCGAGAGCGUGGGCUUGCACGACGCCUACGACCUCCACUACCGCUGCGCGAGGUUCUAGAUGGACCAGUGCACAGCGCUCCUCCGGCUCCGCGCUCGCUGCCGCGCCCCGCGCCCGCCGUCGCCCGUGCGGCGCCCGUGCGGCACCCCCACCCGCGGCCGCGGCCGCGCCCACACCCGAGUUCGCGACCGCGGCGCCCCGCUCCCGCCCGCGGAGCGAGGGGUCGAGAGAGAAAGAGAAAGAGAGAGGGGGAGAGAGAGUGAGAGAGAGGGGGUGCACGAACUGGGCGCGGGCCACCCAGGCGCGCGGGGCGCGGUACGUGCGCUGGGAGAGAGAAGGGGAGAAAAGAAGAGAAGGGAGGGUGGGGGGGCCCGAGAGAGGGAGAGAGAGGGAGGGGGGGCAGAGAGAGGGGGAGAAAAGGAGAGGGAUGGGGGCCAGAGAGAGAGGGGUCGCGCUCGCGGCCGCGCCACCGCCCGAGGCUGCGAUUGCGCCCGCGCCCGGCUCCCGGAGGGACGCCCGCGCCGUGUCCCGCGCCCGCGGCCGCGCCCCACCGUCCGUCCUGCCCGAGCUCCCCCGCCCGUGCCCGCGCCCCGCGUCCAUCCGGGCCCGCGCGCCCCGUCCCGCGACGAGCCCCCACGCCCCUCGACCGACGCGCCCACGCGCCCCGCCCCGCGCCGCGCCCGUACGCCCCGCGCCCGGGCCGCGCUCGUGGCCCAACCCUCCCCCCCGCGCAACCCCUCUCCCCGACUCCUUCUCUUCCCUUCUCUCUCUCUCUUUCUCUUUGCGACCCUCUCUCUUUCUCUCUCUAUCUCUCUCUCUCGUCUCUCUCUCUCGGUCCACCUCUUUCUGUCUCUCCCUCUGACCCUCUCUUUCUCUCUCUUUUCCUCUCUCUCUAAAAUUUUAAAAUUAAAGACUUAAAAUAUAAAAAUAUAAAUUUAAACUUUAAAUUGACAAUCGUAUGUUAUAAAAAAGGUUAAAAAUUUAAAAUUUCAAAUUUUAAAAAUUACAAUAUAUUAUAUAUUAAUAAUUAUUAAUAUAUAAUUAAUAUAUAAUUAUUAUAUAUUAAUAUUAAUAAUUAUUAAUAAUUAUUAAAAAAUUUGAUUAGGAGCGGACGCUGCCGCGCGAGUUCGAGAGGCUGAAGCCCGAGCGUCGGGAGCGCCUCGUCGCGCCGGCGCUGCCCGCGGAUGCAUACCGCACGCCCCGGGGUCGGAUGCGCCAUGACAAAUAAUUACCGAGACUCUGAAAGAGAACCCACACAAUCUACGGUAUCCUCGAAAUUAAAGUAAAUAAAUAACCUUCCCGGGUAUCCUAAUCAAACAAAAUUAACAUGCUUGUAAAUAAAAAAGAUGCCGUAAAGUAGGAGAGAGAUUCGAAGUAAAAAAAAAAAAAAAAAGAAAACUCUACGAGAAACCUACGUUCUAUCAUUAAUCACGAGUAAAACACUUUUGCCUCAACGAAAAGGUUCUAUUUAAUACACUCUAAACCUGACACAAACAUCGUAAAUAAUCACACGUCGCUUUCUUCAAUUGAACUUUUACUCAAAAAUAAGGGGGAAUAAACACAAUCAGGGGACCUAAUAAAUAGACUCAUAGUUUAACAUUUUACUUCACUUAGCAUGUGAAGAUCCGAAAAAGUUCGUAUACCAUUUAAAGACCCAAAGUGAAGAUUACGAUGCCCAUGCUACCCCGCGCGCGGCUUCGCACCAGCACGCCCCAGUAGGAGAAGCACGAGGAGCGCCCUGUCGAGGGGAAGCUGCUGCGGUUGUAGGGCGAGUACAUAGCCUCCUAGGUUGCCGCGCUGACGCGCAAGGGCGGGACCCAGAGGGGGGAAGACGUUGGUGGAGUAGAGGGAGAUGCGCGCUACGGCGGAAGGGCAGCGACGGGCGUUCCACAAGCUGCUUUAGGGGGUUAAUAUUUAAAUAUAUAUAUAUAUAUAUAUAUAUAUAUAUAUAUAUAUCUCUCUCUCUUUCUCUCUUCCUCGCGAGCGCGGAAGCCCCCGCGAAACGCGGGGAGGGCGCCGUACAUACUCAACUUUCAUUAUUUGUAUUGAUAGAACACUUAAAUUAUUUUCGAUAAUGGAGUUUUCGAAUCGAUGAUUCAUACUGUUAAAUAUAACCUAAAAUAUUUGAAAUUUAAAAAAAAUAAAUUUUGUAAUUUUUGAAAUAAUAAUAAGUCCAUCAAAUAGGCAUAAAAUGAACAAUCAAAAUUUAGUUUAAGAUGGAAGUUAUAGAUCACUAUCUAUAUAGUGAAUAAAAUUUUUUUAUUAAAAGGUCAACCAAUUUCGUUUUUUAUACUGUUAAACUGGUGAGCAUUCUAUACCGAUUGUGAAAAAUUAUCGAUUUAAAGAUUGGUUGAUCGUAAAGUAAAUGAUGUAAAAGAAAAUCUAAAAUUUAGUUUUUAGAAGUUUCAAAUGCUCUAAAUCAUGUUUAGCUGUAUAGAUCGUCAAUUCGAAAAUUUUAUCAUCGAAAAUGACUUAUGCAUACAAUAUCAAUUGUAUUCAUAAAAGUAUAAUAGCAGUUCUCUCUCUCUCUCUCUCUCUCUCUUUCUCUCUCUGUAUAGAGAGUCCGGUUACUAUGCUAUUAAUAGCACGAAGCACUUGGUACUACCAAAUUUUCCGCCGUUAGAUCGAUCCUUUUAAUCAUUUUCACCUGUUAGAUCAUACUAUUCAACCAACCAUUCACUCAACCCUAGAAGGCUCACAUCAUCCUAACCGCACAUCUCUUAAUCCAAUGGCCAAGAACUUGGUAGCACCAAUGACUUCGUGCUAUUAAUAGCAUAGUAGCCUAGUUACUCUCUCUCUCUCUCUCUCUCUCUCUCUCUAUAUAUAUAUAUAUAUAUAUAUAUGAGUUGAGCUAUGAUACUUUUACAAGUAUCACCAUCAUGGUACUAUUAGGUUUUAAGCCAUUGGAUCUACUUUUUGAUUAUUAAUAGCCCUUGGAUUAAACACUAUUCCACCUACCACCACCUACUACUAUCAUCUCAACAUCACAUCUCUCCAUCCAAGGGCUAAAAACACACAAGUAUCACCCCCAUGAUACUUUUAAAAGUAUUCUAGCCCUACUCUAUAUAUAUAUAUAUAUAGAGAGAGAGAGAGAGAGAGAGAGAGAGUGAGGCUACUAUGCUUCUGGAAGGCUUCCAGGUCGUUUUCGAUGUUGCGAUUUUUGAAUCGUCGAUCGGCUCCAUUAAACUUGAUAAUAUUUGAAGUAUCUAGAAAAUAAAUUUUGUAAUUUUUCGAUAUCAUUUGCCUAGUGAACGAAGGGGCUCAAAAUCAACGGCUGACAAUAAAAAUCUUACAAAACGUGAUAAUAUGACAUUAAAACUUUAGAUUAAAGAUAUUGAUCUUAUUUUAUAUAGUAUAAAAAACUUACUAUCAAAAUUUUACGUGAUUUGGAUAUUUCUACACUGUUAAACUUGCAAACGGCUCACUACGGCCAUUAAAAUUAUUUAAUUUUGAGCCAUUUCGAUCACUAGGCAAAUGAUAUCGAAAAAUUACAAAAUUUAUUUUCUAGGUACUUCAAAUACUCUAGAUCAAGUUUAACGGAGCCGAUCGACGAUUUGAAAGUCGAAACAUCGAAAACGAUCUGGAAGCACGGAAGGCUCCGUACUUCAAGAAGCAUAGAAGCCUCACUCUCUCUCUCUCUCUCUCUCUCUCUCUCUCUCUCUAUAUAUAUAUAUAUAUAUAUAUAUAUAUAUAUAUAUAUAUCUAACUAUAACUCUAUAUGAAUCCCUAAUAAAAUUGAUGACAUGGCAAGCCCUCCUUUUUUUUAAUUUUUUAUAUUUUUUAUAUUUUUUAAUGGUGAUUCAUUAUUCUUUAUUCUUACAUUUAAUGUUCUUAAUAGUUAUAACUCCAUUAAUACUCACCUCUUAAUUACUCUUUAAUUUUAUUUAUAUCUCCUUUAAAUUUUUUAAUAGUGAAAUAUUUAAGACAUUAAUUAUAAAGGAAAAAAACUGUCUAAUUAUUGCCCAAGAAUAAUUACUUCAGUUUUAUAUGUUUAUAUUUUUACUAUCUUAUUAUAUUUAAUGUUGCUAAUGAUAGCUAUAUAUUACAUGCAUAUGUUUUUCUUUCCUAAUUAAUUAAAUAAAUACUAUACUUUAGAUAACAAAUUAAUAUGUGGUAGUAAAGAUAGCUUCUCCAAAUCCUAAAUCCUAAAAUCCCAACCUUUCCUCUCCCUCCGCACCCUCCCUUGCCACCGCCCCUCCGAUCGGUGGCGCCUCCUCUCUGCCGGCCCCGCCGCCGUCCACACGGCGGUGGCCAUCUAGAAGGAGACCUCGGAGGAGGAGCGGCUGGAGACCUUCCUUCGCAUGGCGGAUCUCGCUAUUGCCACGUCCGUGCGUGCGCGGUUCGAGCGGAUGAUCCGCGAGGCCCUUGACGAGGUGUGCGCGGCGCUCAAGGCCGUGGACGGGGGCGCCGCGUUCAAGGAGGAUGUGUGAUCGCGCCCAUUUGCAACAAUUUCAAACUCUUAUACGACCCCCACUCCUACCCUCGAUCACUCCUUUCUCGAAAAAAAGUAAGAACUCUAUAAGUUUUUAAUUUUUAUCCGCUGCAUCGCAUGAAUUCCUACACUAUAUACAUUAUUACUAAACUGAAAAUAUAACUAAAAUAUCUCUAUUUCCGAUAUAGGGACAACUCAUUCUUUUUUAUACUAUUCAUGAAAAUUUAGGCAUGGAGUGAGGUUUAAUAUCUAAAUUUUUUUCGACAGCUUUCUUUAUUUAUUUAUUUAUACAGAAUCUACCUGCUACAACGCGCGGGUGCCUUCACUAGUAUAUAUAGAGUAUGGCUACUGUGCUAUUAGGAGUACAAUAGUCCUUGUGCUCCUAAGUUUCUAACUACUCAUCAAGUUUGAUGGGUGGUUAAAAUGAGAGAUGGAGGAGAUAUUGAAGAGAAAUUCAAAGAGAAGGGAAAUUGCGACACCCAAUUUCUCUUUAAUAUCUCCUCCCAUUCUCAUUUUAACCACCUAUCAAACUUGAUGGGUGUUUAGAAACUUAGGAGCACAAAGGCUACUGUGCUCCUAAUAGAAUAGUAGCCGUGCUCUAUAUUUACAUAAAUUGAAAGUAUGAUUUAAUUUUUAAUAAUUAUGCUGAUAUGUGUGAAAUUUAAGGGACCAAUAAAAAAAAGGGAAAAUUUCAAAAACCCCCCCUGUGGUUUCACACUUUUUCAUUUUAGUACCCUGUGGUUUAAAAUGUAUCAAGUUAGUACCCUGUGGUUUCUCACUUUAUCACUUUAGUACCCUGUGGUUUAAAGUGUAUCAAGUUAGUACUCUGUGGUUUUGCACUUUAUCACUUUAGUACCCUGUGGUUUAAAGUGUAUCAAGUUAGUACCCUGUGGUUUUGUACUUUAUCACUUUAGUACCCUAUGGUUUCACACUUUAUCACUUUAGUACCUUAUGGUUUAAAAAACCAUAGAAUACUAAUUUGAUACAAAAUUAAAACCACAGGGUACUAAAGUGAUAAAGUGCAAAACUACAGGGUACUAAUUUGAUACAUUUUAAACCACAUGAUAUUAAAGUGAUAAAGUGAGAAACCACAUGGUACUAACUUGAUACAUUUUAAACCACAUGGUACUAAAGUGAUAAAAAUUGAAACCACAUGGGGGAUUUUUGAAGUUUUCCCAUAUAUAUAUAUAUAUAUGGAUGUGUAUAUAAACAGUAUUAUAGAAAAUUUGAAUUUUUGAAGAAAGUUGGAAAGAAAUUAUUAUCUGCACUUGGUGUAUCUAUAGACAUCUUGCAUCGUACUAAUUUUUUAUGACUAAUUUCUUAGACUAUAGCAUGAUCAUCUAAAGGUUCUACAUGCAAAAAAUGUAUAAAAAUUCUAAAAUUUGUUACGAGGAAAUCAAAUAAUCUUAAAAAUAAAAAAUUUAGAAACAAACAUAAUUCAAUUAAUAAACAAUGACUUGGAACCGUGCACAAAUUUAAUUUAAAAGAUAUUAAAUUUUGAUGCUAAAACCAAACUCCUAUAUUUAUAUAGAAAAAAAAGAUGGUGGUUUGCGAAUUCCUACGAUUUAAAGACCACAAGAAUUAUAAAUUUCUUCCCCAUUAAAUUUUUUUUUUUUUUUUUGAGAGAAAGGUCGCAUGCUACCUGUUUCGUUUAUUUCAUUUAGAAAUAAAAUUAGUUGGAAAUGCUUCCCCAUUAAAUUUCUAAUGCAAAUUUAUGAAUGGACUUAUACACCGGGUCUAGGCAAAAGUAUCUCCAAUCUCCCGCCAUUUUCCAUUUCCCCAAUUCCUCCGCUCCUAUAAAACGCACUCCUCGAUAGCGUGCUCCCUCUUCGCGAUGCUUCUCCACUCCCUCCUCCUUAGAACCCUAACCCUAGCCCCUUUCAUCGUCCCCGAUCCUCUCCCCUCUCCUUGAGACCCAUCCGCCUCCACCGCCUCCGCGAUCUCUGCCGGGAAGCGCGAGCUCUCGGCGGCGGCUAUGGCGAUGGCGGCGGCGAUGGCGAUGGCGGCAGCGGCGGCGCUGAGCCGCGCCACUACGAUGGUGAUCGUCGCGGCGUGGUACGCCUCCAACGUCGGGAUACUCCUCCUCAACAAGUACCUCCUCAGCAACUACGGCUUCAGGUACCCGAUCUUCCUCACCCUGUGCCACAUGGCCGCGUGCUCCAUCCUCAGCUACGCCUCGGUCGCGUGGGUGGGGAUCCCGCCGCUCCAGCGCCUGCGGACGCGCGCCAGAGCCGCGAGGAUCGCCGCGCUCGGCCUCGUCUUCUGUGUCUCCGUCGUCGGCGGCAACGUCUCGCUCCGCUACAUCCCUGUCUCCUUCAACCAGGCCGUGGGCGCCACCACGCCCUUCUUCACCGCCGUCCUCUCCUACAUCUUCACCAGAAGGCGCGAGACGUGGUACACAUAUGCCGCGCUCGUCCCUGUCGUAGCUGGCGUUGUCAUCGCGAGCUGGGUUAGUGCUCUUUGAUCGCCUGAAUUUAUUAGAUUAUUUUAGUUACGUUUUACUAAUUUAGUUGGUUAGACAAAUGCUUACUUAGUGAUCUGUUCAGUAAUCGCUUUUAUGCACGCUAAUUAUAUUGUAAUAUGUUUAGAUGAAUUUAGCUAUUCUGUAUAAAUGUUAAAAUAGCAAAGAAAUGCGAAUUCCUGGAGUGCUGGGUGGUAUGUUAGGGGUCAGCUAUGCCAUUCAAGUGACUAUGCAUUAGGUGGGUGUCGAUCGAAGUUCUUAGAUGCAUCAAGAUAUUCUUUGUAACUAAGGUUGAGACAAGUGUUAGAUGCAUGAAUAGAUCUUUUUUUUUCUUUUGGUUGCUCACUGAUAUUGUAUUGUCUUGUGUUCCUCUAAUGAUGUCAGAAAUUUAAUCUGCCAUGUAACCUAAUUUAGUGCAGAAGUGUGGUGGGAAUAGAUUGUUUUACAAGUAAUGGAUCCAGAGGAAAUUGAGGUCUGCAUUUUGGAAAUAUUUAGUAGGAUUCACUGGAUUUGACUAUGAUAUAUUGAGAGUGUGGAAAUCAUUCAAGUGAAAUUAAAUGACUAAGACUUAUUAAUGUGGCCUUUCUUGUAAUUUCCAGUUGGGGCUCCCAAGGAUUUCAGGCUUUAAAUAACAAACUCCUGUUAAUAGUUUAUCCUCUUAUUUGGGCACUUUCUAGUGUAAACACGUUAUUUUUUUUUCCCCCUUUCUAAUGUAAGCACUUUCCUUUUCUUUUUUUUUCCCUUCCUGUGUGAGUAGUCUGUCUAUCCUCUUUUUUACCUCAGUUUGCAAUGUUCUAAGCUAUCUAAUUGUAACCUAGUUUUCUAGAACUACUGAAGUUAAGUUUUAGGUGCUGGAUUUUCCUAUGAAUAGAGCGAAACAUGUGGAUAUGACAAAAGAAGCAAUACCAACUGCCCCAAUUGAUCAAAAUAUUUCCAACUUCAUGUUGUUAGAUGAGAUUCCGGUAUUGAUAUGCAGAACCAGUUUGUUGGAUGCCUUUGUGCUUCUUAGGAAGGGUCCAACUAAUCAGGAUUGGUUCUAACUGUGUUUGUGUGGAUAGCUAGCAUUAUUUUCAUUUUUUUUUUUUUUAUUGCAACAAUCAGAUGGGGUCAAUUUACAUUGGUUGCAUAUCCCUUUUGCUUUUUACUUUCCAUUUCUCUGGAUUUUCAUAAUUAAACUUUAUGCUGUCAAGCUAACAUAGACUAUGGUGUAAUUGCGAGGUGAUCUUUAUAUGAAUACCCUUGCAUCGCAGGCCUAUAUAUUUUAACAUCCUUGCCUUUUGUGUUGCUAAUUGGCUGCAUAAUAGUUGUAAUUAUUAUACUAAGUUGAUAUGUAUGUUGCAAUGACACUGCUGCUUUCUUCUUGUAAGUUGAUGCAUGACUAGCCUUUUUGUAAUUUCUAUUUAUCUGUGGCAUAUGUAUCUUAGGGUGUGCUUGUUGGGAGAGAAAAACCUAGAUGAUAAGUUUUUGAUCCAAAAGAGCGGAUGAUAAUGGAGAAUAAAGUCAUUUUUGCAACUGCUUUGCACACAUCGGAGCAAUCAUAAUUGUUUCAGCGAGAAAUGUAAUGACGAGAAGGAUAGUUGGGGAUAAAGCAAGGAAAGUACUAUUCAUGGUUCCAUUAGAUUAGUAUUCGUGUCUUCCUAGAAUAUUUCAGUUUGAUCAGAGCAACUAUUCCCCUAUUCUUUUGUUUGUGCAGCAUAGUGAGGAUAACUUUUGUUAUUCCCUGUUGUUGCCAUGAAACAGUGCCUUAGUUUUCUUCUGUGGUAUUUCCAUAUUUAAUAUGUUUAUUCUUGCUCAUUAGUGAAAAUGACUCUGCAUAAUGACUAUUUAUUGUUCAAUUACAUUGGGAGACUCAAGCUUCCAGAAAAAGAAAACGACUCCGCAUAAUGACUAUAUAUUGUUCAAUUAUUUAGGGAGAGCCAAGCUUCCAUUUUUUUGGUUUCGUCAUGUGCGUAGCAGCAACUUCUGCACGGGCUCUUAAGACGGUGUUGCAAGAGAUUAUACUGUCUUCAGAGCGGUAAUGGAUGUAUUUCCACACAACAUGUAGUACAGUUGUUCUACUUUGUGAAACUUCGUACUUCAUAUUUUCUUCCAACUGUCUUGAAAUUAAUUGACUUUUUUUUUUUGCUUUUCCUUAAGUGGAGAACUGAGUUUUAUAUCCUUUAUGUACUGGUUUAUGUCUAGGGAGAAACUUGACUCUAUGAAUCUCCUCCUCUACAUGGCUCCAGUUGCUGUAAUCCUCUUGCUUCCUGCCUCAACUAUAAUUGAGGAAAAUGUGGUCAGCAUCACGAUAGCACUUGCUAGAGAAGAUUUCAAAAUUAUUUGGUACCUUCUCUUCAAUUCUUGCUUGGCAUUCAUAGUGAACUUGACCAAUUUCUUGGUUACCAAACAUACCAGCGCAUUGACUGUUCAGGUAUGAUAAGAAAUUCUAGAAUUUCCUAUUAUGUAUUCUGUUUUACAUUUUCUGAUCUAACUUUGUAGUUGGAUGGGUUAUGUUCUGUGCUUAAAAUAUGCACUUGACUAUCUGUUUGUUUACUUACUAGCAAGGAGUACCUUCUAUCUGAUAUCCCCUUCUGCAUGAGUAAGCCUGUGUUAGUAGUUCGUCUUAGAUUUCAUAAUUUAGCUGAAGAAUUAAGAUAAAAUAGAUCCUAAUCUGAUACACAUAAAUGAAAACGUGGUAUUAUUAUGCCUCAAUUAAGACAAUAAUAAACUUUGAUUUUUAAGUUUAUUUUUCCUUUACCCUUUAUGUAGUUAUUUGUCAACUCUGGUUCAAUGUUGUUAUAUAAAUGCUGAUAGGUUAUGUUGCCUUUUCGCUUAACUCUGGUGUGCUGAAUGGUUCUCAACUUUUCUUCUCCCGAAACUAUUAAGAUAAUAGCAUAUUCUUGCCAAACUAGUGGGAUUCCCAGUGGUAAGGCAUUAGUAGGAGAAAGGUUGAUGGCACAGUUCCAAGUACCAGCGGGGGUACACGCGGGUUCGGGUGUAGUGGGCUAAGAUCCCAGUUAUCUAAAUGUAUAUUCUUCUCAUGAUGCAAAAGCAUAAUUUAUAUUUGUUUUAACAAAUAUUAAGUAAACACAAUGUAUCAUUCCAUGGUUUUUCAAAAAUUAUGUCGCUGUUGUUUUAUUAUUCUUGGCCUUUUGAAAGUGGUUUAUUUUCAUAGUGUUUCUUUGCAAAGGUGUUAGCAAGAUUUUUUUUUGGAUAUAUCUCCCAUAUUAUCUUAACUUGCGAUAACUGCUAUUGUGUGAAAGAUGCUCAUAUGCGGCAAACAUGGAUAAAAAUUAUGGCCUCUGUUACUUUCUCUGAAUAUUUAUCCGAUUUGUCAUUUAUGCAUGUCUUUUGUUGGUAUUGAAACCAAGUAUGUGAAGGAUUCAUAGAACUAUUGCUUAGGUGGCAAAAACCCUACCUUCAUUCUAAUUAUUUCUUCUUUUUAACAUUUCUAUUCCUGCAACUCUUCUACACCCAAACUGCUACAUAUCUAAUAAGAUCAACUUCUCAAAUCCAACAAUUUUUUCUGUAUGUUCAUUCUUUUUUGUUUUUCAGGUUCUUGGAAAUGCUAAAGGUGCUGUCGCGGUGGUCGUCUCGAUCCUUAUUUUCAGGAAUCCUGUAUCCGCGACAGGAAUACUAGGCUAUACUCUCGCCGUCAUCGGCAUCUUCCUCUAUAGCAAAGCUAAGAAACGCAAAGACUGAGAUACUACACAUUGGAAUAUUGAAAAGGGAAAAUAAAAAGGAAAAAAAAAGAAACAGAAAACAGAGUAAAUAAACUGCCUUUUUACCUUACCAGUUUGGCAGGUCUUUGGUCAAAGCUGGAUUCGCUGUGCACCCUUUUUUUUCUUUCCGAUUGAACAGCACAUUGUUUGGGCCGGCGAGGAACAAAAAUUCUACAGAAAUCGACAGUAUACGUAUAGUGACAUUCUAACCUUCAGCUAUUACCAUACUAUUCGGUAUAGAGAAUUAGGUAUUACUCUAUUCUGUUUUACGGUUCCAUUUGGUGAUGAAUGUUCUUCGGUAUUUUCUUGUACAUGUAAUUCUUUGAAUUUCUUUACCCUCCUAUGAUUCUUCUCAAUUGUGUAUAACUUCCUUAUCAAUAUGUGCACACUGCAAUAAAUAUGGAUUCUUCUAUUAAUGAGUCCAAUACAUUUGAAUUGUCGGUAAGGUCCACAAAAUUUAGUUGGGCAUCGUUCCAGUUAUUUUGAUUUUAUACAAUUUAUUACAUGGAUACAUCAGCUGGUGGACUUUUCUAUUCUUGUUAUUGUUUGUCAGUUUCUGAUGCGCUGUAGCCAAAUAUAGAUGAUACCUUCAAAAUAUAAGAACAGAAAACAAAAAAAAGUGGUAUAGUUAUGUAGAGUGAGGCUAUUAUGCUAUCGGAAGUAUGGAGCCUUUCGUGUUUCCAGUUUUUUUUCGAUGUUGCAACUUUCGAAUUGUCGAUUGGUUCCAUUAAAUUUGAUCUAGAGUAUUUGGAGUACCUAAAAAAUAAAUUUUAUUAUUUUUCGAUAUUAUUUGCCUAGUGAUCAAAAGGGCUCAAAAUCAAUAAAUUUCAAUGGCCGUAGUGAAUCGUUUGCAAGUUUAACGGUGUAAAAAUAUCCAAAUCAUGUGAAAUUUUGAUAGAAAAUUCUUUAUACUAUAUAAAAUAAGAUCAAUAUCUUUGAUUUAAAAUUUUAAUGUCAUAUUAUUACAUUUUGUAAGAUUUUUAUUUUCAGCCGUUGAUUUUGAGCCUCUUCGUUCACUAGGCAAAUGAUAUCAUAAAAUCAUAAAAUUUAUUUUCUAGGUACUUCAAAUACUUUAGAUCAAGUUUAACGGAGCCGAUCGACGAUUUGAAAGUCGCAACAUCGAAAACGAGUUGGAAGCACGGAAGGCUCCGUGCUUCCGAUAGUAUAGUAGCCUCACUCUAGUUAUGUAUAUU
rnacentral:lncRNA from 1 species